CCGGCGGCCCACCGGACGCCGCCUAGCCCCCGGCGGUCCCUCUCAUUCUCCUCCUUCGUCCCUUGGUGAAAACCGCCAUCUCCGGCGGCUGAUUGAUGGGCUUAAACCGAUUUGUUCUGGUCAGUUCACAGAACCGACGAUCAAGUCGGUUUUCAAGUUUACCAGCUCGACUGCCGGUUCGGCUACUGAGAUCGGCGAAGCAGACCCCGCCGAUCUAUCCCUGAGUUUGUUCCCGACCUUGCUGUGGUUGGGAACUAAUAGAUCAGCCACCGGAAUACCUUCGGUGGCCCGAUCUCUUCGGAGAGUCCAAAACCAGUCCAAGUAGGACCGAUUCUGUUCCAGCCUAAACCGAAGGCCGCCAGUGCUCUCAGGAGCCUCCAACCGCUGGCGAUCAGUAGCUCCAGAGGUCCCUGACCUCGCCGUAGUUAGGGAUAGGCGGAUUGGCUACCGGAUCUCCUCCGGCAGCCAAUCUCCACCGGUGAAUCAAGACCAAUCCAACUUUGGACCAAUUCUGGCGUUUGCUUCGAACCAACGGUUCAACCGACCUCGAUUUGGUUCCCUCGGUGGUUUGUGACUAUCUGAUCGUGAUUCUGGAGAUCCGUGUGCGUUCUGAAGAGCUUGAUUCGAUCGAUGACGUCUACAAUCAACGAAAACGCGUAAAAGGUAACGUACUUUAUCUCGAACCACGUGAAGCGAGGCUGAAUUAACUGGUCGUGGCUAAGGUUCAAUCUUAGGGAUAUAUGCUAUGUUCAUAUGCUCAUUGAUGAGUUGCUCAAACUUGAACUUGAUUGAUUGUUCUUGAUGAACUUGGAUGAUUAAACUUGUUUAGGCUUGAAUCUACAUUUUCGUAUCUACUGGACUGAUCGGAUGUUUUGGCCAAAAUGAGGUCUGAAACGACCUGAUCUUAGUUCGAGUUCUCUUAGACUUUUAAAAUGCACAUCACUAGCUUCGAAUCGAUAGGUUGCAGGCCCCAAUUGAGCGACGUUUGGCCCUCGNNNNNNNNNNNNNNNNNNNNNNNNNNNNNNNNNNNNNNNNNNNNNNNNNNNNNNNNNNNNNNNNNNNNNNNNNNNNNNNNNNNNNNNNNNNNNNNNNNNNGGAGUACACCACUGGGAAUUCGUGGUAUGAGUGGGAAUGACCUAGAAAGGGCCUGGCUAACAUGUAAUCGACUUAGUCGAUUGAUCAAUGCUUGAUCGGAUGUCGUGAAUUGUUUGAAUGCUUGUGUUUAACCUUGAAUUGCAGGUUGGAACUGAGGCCAAGGUAAGUCCUCUGACUCGUGUUGUGCUUAGGCAACCGUAUGGCGUAUUAGUUUAUUAAUCGAGUCUUAGUGGGUAGGACUCGCUGAGACGUGGUCUCAUUGGUUAUUGAAUAACCAUUUCAGGACCUUGAGGAGAAUCUAAGGAAGAGGAACCUGAAGAGGAGAAAGACUUUUGAGGAAGAAGAUGAUCCAGAGAGGGAUCUUGAAUACAACCCGGAUGUGGAUUGAGAUCCCAUCCCUUUUGUGAACCCUGUCUUGGUAUAGAUAGGUGUGCGACUUUUAUGCUGUAAAUAGUAUUGUAAAUAUACUAUGAGUGGUGAUGUUAAUGAAAGUGUGGUUAUGAAUUUCAAUAUGAAAAAUAUGGCCUGCUUUCCUAUCCCAUUGUUUUAUUGUCUGGGGAUUUAUAACUGCUUCCGCAUGUGCUUAAUAAAAAAGAAAGGGUCGGCGAUACAUAGUCAUGGGAUAUCGCAUUAUAAAAUCGACCAAGUAGAAGGAUGUGCGCGCGUCCGAGGAUCGGGGCGUGACAUAUCCUACCAUUAACUUUAGAGUGAUUUUUUUUUUCUCAUUUAAUCAAAAGAUCCAAAAAUUUACUCGCCAUGAGUUUUAGGAUUACAAAUGUUCUUUGAGUGCUGCAACAAAAUUACAGUCCUAGCUCCUUAAUCAUGCAUGCAAAUGAGACACGAUCUGCUGGUUGAUCGUAAUAAUAAGUCUUGCUUGCAGAAAUGACCAAGAAAGUUUCAAGGAAACAGCUUAAAUAUAAUGCGACAAAUGCAAAGGAAAUAGUACUCUAAAAAUGCUGAAACUUUUGAAAGAUAGAUAUGCAAGGUAUAAAUAAAUAUCUGUCAAUAGCUCAAAGAAUAACAGAACAAACAUAAGCAAUAUAUAUAUAUAUAUAUAUAUAUAUAUAUAUAUAUAUAUUAAAAAAUACUAUUCGUCACAUGAACUGCUACAGAAGAAUUCGGUACAAGCAUAAAAUGGGGCUGAGCACCUCAAUAACUGAAUAAGACUUCUUUACUAACCAUGAGGAACUUUUCUUGUGCAGAUGUCAAUGCUUUUCGUGACUUAUCGAGAUGACCACUGUGAUAAGCUACCACUCCUUCCAACAGGUCUAACCACAAAUGCCUGGAAGUUAAUUAUUCCAAUUUUGNNNNNNNNNNNNNNNNNNNNNNNNNNNNNNNNNNNNNNNNNNNNNNNNNNNNNNNNNNNNNNNNNNNNNNNNNNNNNNNNNNNNNNNNNNNNNNNNNNNNNNNNNNNNNNNNNNNNNNNNNNNNNNNNNNNNNNNNNNNNNNNNNNNNNNNNNNNNNNNNNNNNNNNNNNNNNNNNNNNNNNNNNNNNNNNNNNNNNNNNNNNNNNNNNNNNNNNNNNNNNNNNNNNNNNNNNNNNNNNNNNNNNNNNNNNNNNNNNNNNNNNNNNNNNNNNNNNNNNNNNNNNNNNNNNNNNNNNNNNNNNNNNNNNNNNNNNNNNNNNNNNNNNNNNNNNNNNNNNNNNNNNNNNNNNNNNNNNNNNNNNNNNNNNNNNNNNNNNNNNNNNNNNNNNNNNNNNNNNNNNNNNNNNNNNNNNNNNNNNNNNNNNNNNNNNNNNNNNNNNNNNNNNNNNNNNNNNNNNNNNNNNNNNNNNNNNNNNNNNNNNNNNNNNNNNNNNNNNNNNNNNNNNNNNNNNNNNNNNNNNNNNNNNNNNNNNNNNNNNNNNNNNNNNNNNNNNNNNNNNNNNNNNNNNNNNNNNNNNNNNNNNNNNNNNNNNNNNNNNNNNNNNNNNNNNNNNNNNNNNNNNNNNNNNNNNNNNNNNNNNNNNNNNNNNNNNNNNNNNNNNNNNNNNNNNNNNNNNNNNNNNNNNNNNNNNNNNNNNNNNNNNNNNNNNNNNNNNNNNNNNNNNNNNNNNNNNNNNNNNNNNNNNNNNNNNNNNNNNNNNNNNNNNNNNNNNNNNNNNNNNNNNNNNNNNNNNNNNNNNNNNNNNNNNNNNNNNNNNNNNNNNNNNNNNNNNNNNNNNNNNNNNNNNNNNNNNNNNNNNNNNNNNNNNNNNNNNNNNNNNNNNNNNNNNNNNNNNNNNNNNNNNNNNNNNNNNNNNNNNNNNNNNNNNNNNNNNNNNNNNNNNNNNNNNNNNNNNNNNNNNNNNNNNNNNNNNNNNNNNNNNNNNNNNNNNNNNNNNNNNNNNNNNNNNNNNNNNNNNNNNNNNNNNNNNNNNNNNNNNNNNNNNNNNNNNNNNNNNNNNNNNNNNNNNNNNNNNNNNNNNNNNNNNNNNNNNNNNNNNNNNNNNNNNNNNNNNNNNNNNNNNNNNNNNNNNNNNNNNNNNNNNNNNNNNNNNNNNNNNNNNNNNNNNNNNNNNNNNNNNNNNNNNNNNNNNNNNNNNNNNNNNNNNNNNNNNNNNNNNNNNNNNNNNNNNNNNNNNNNNNNNNNNNNNNNNNNNNNNNNNNNNNNNNNNNNNNNNNNNNNNNNNNNNNNNNNNNNNNNNNNNNNNNNNNNNNNNNNNNNNNNNNNNNNNNNNNNNNNNNNNNNNNNNNNNNNNNNNNNNNNNNNNNNNNNNNNNNNNNNNNNNNNNNNNNNNNNNNNNNNNNNNNNNNNNNNNNNNNNNNNNNNNNNNNNNNNNNNNNNNNNNNNNNNNNNNNNNNNNNNNNNNNNNNNNNNNNNNNNNNNNNNNNNNNNNNNNNNNNNNNNNNNNNNNNNNNNNNNNNNNNNNNNNNNNNNNNNNNNNNNNNNNNNNNNNNNNNNNNNNNNNNNNNNNNNNNNNNNNNNNNNNNNNNNNNNNNNNNNNNNNNNNNNNNNNNNNNNNNNNNNNNNNNNNNNNNNNNNNNNNNNNNNNNNNNNNNNNNNNNNNNNNNNNNNNNNNNNNNNNNNNNNNNNNNNNNNNNNNNNNNNNNNNNNNNNNNNNNNNNNNNNNNNNNNNNNNNNNNNNNNNNNNNNNNNNNNNNNNNNNNNNNNNNNNNNNNNNNNNNNNNNNNNNNNNNNNNNNNNNNNNNNNNNNNNNNNNNNNNNNNNNNNNNNNNNNNNNNNNNNNNNNNNNNNNNNNNNNNNNNNNNNNNNNNNNNNNNNNNNNNNNNNNNNNNNNNNNNNNNNNNNNNNNNNNNNNNNNNNNNNNNNNNNNNNNNNNNNNNNNNNNNNNNNNNNNNNNNNNNNNNNNNNNNNNNNNNNNNNNNNNNNNNNNNNNNNNNNNNNNNNNNNNNNNNNNNNNNNNNNNNNNNNNNNNNNNNNNNNNNNNNNNNNNNNNNNNNNNNNNNNNNNNNNNNNNNNNNNNNNNNNNNNNNNNNNNNNNNNNNNNNNNNNNNNNNNNNNNNNNNNNNNNNNNNNNNNNNNNNNNNNNNNNNNNNNNNNNNNNNNNNNNNNNNNNNNNNNNNNNNNNNNNNNNNNNNNNNNNNNNNNNNNNGUAAUGUUUUUGGAAUUUUUGGACAUGUUAGCUAGGUCAAAACCUCAGAUUGAGAUAGGGUCAAUCUGCCCUAUCUUGAUCUGAAAUGGAUUUAAGAAGAAUCGGACAUGUAAUUGACCUUGUUCAACAUCAAGUCCUUCAUGAAAGAUGAAAUGCAUAUUAUAUGUGUUGAAUUGAUGCAUGAUUGCAAAGUUUUGAUAUCGUUUAAUGCAUCGAUUGCAUGCAUUAAGGUAAAUGGGUGUUGCAGAAAAAUAAACCUUGUAUGUUGCGUGUUUGUUUUACUAUUUUUGUCACAACUCGCGUGUUCUUAAUUGAGUUUGAAACUCUUAACGAAAAAUAUUCAUCAUUGCAUGUUCUGUAUGUGAGAUUUUUCGUUGGAUUUUUACAUGUUCAUAGGUGACUGAAAUCAUGCUUGUUUUGUAGCGUUAAGGUUAAGAUGAAACCUCAUCAUGUAUGCGCUUUAUCAUGUCCGUUUGAGUCUAUUAGAGACUAAAUCUUGUGCUGAUGUCUUCUUGACUUUUAAAGUACAUAUAACAAGGUUUGUGUGCAUAUGUGAAUUGUCAUUUACUUUAUGAACACCAUCCCAGAAUUUAUUGCCGUUGGUACUUUUUAAAUUGCUGCUGUCAGGACAUGGUAAUUCUUCCUUACAAAGACAGCCUUCAGUUAUUCAGUCAGUAUCUACAGCAAUUUGACCCGGAUCGCAAUCGAGUAUGUGUUUAUUUUUUGGGUGAAAAUAGGGAGUUUCAUCUCCAUCUCUAGUUUCCAAAAUGUUAAACCUCAAAUUGUUCAUUUCACAUGUCAAUCAAGGGCAUACUGUUUAUGGAAAUAAAGGAAGCACAUAUCAGCAUACGUAAGUUAUUUUUUGAUAAAGUAAUGGCACUACUACUUUUACAUGCCAGUGACGUGAUUAUUCCUGAUGCACGUUAUUGUCUAAUUUCCAUAUAGCUACAUACAACAUCUGAGAGAGGGUGUGCACAACUUCUUCGGAACAUUCAUUGAAGUGCUUCGUGAUAGACCACCUGGUCAUGAUUGGGAGCUUGAACCAGAUUUUACCUGUAGUGACUAUCUGUUCGGAAUGCUUCAGGUUAGUUUGCAACAAGUGCUACUAAAAUUUACCUUUAAGAAGAAUCUAGCAAUAGCUGAAGUUCCUAUGUUUAUUGUUUCUGAAGUUUAAGAUCUCAAACUUCUCUUGGAAAGGAGACAUGAGUUCAGUGGGUGAUUUACUUAUAGUCACUCGGUUGUUUUCUACAAUUGAUCUCUUUUAGAUAUGGUGAACUUCUAUAGGGAAUAGGGUUUGCUCUGUAUGCCAAUGAUCGUGAGUUUAUAACAGUCACUGUCAAAGAAGUGACCCCUAAAUCAGUGGGGGCUCUUAUAGCAUUGUAUGAGCGAGCAGUUGGGAUAUACACCUCACUAGUUAAUAUUAAUGCCUAUCAUCAGCCUGAUAAAUAGUUUACCUUAUAAUUCUUAUUUAAAUUAGAUUAUUGCUAUAUGUUUUGUGCUUAUUGCUAUUGAGAAUAUGUCUGGCCUCUCUUUGAGUCAAGAAACCCAAUCAAUCAUCCAACUGGCUGUCUUUUUUCUUGGCCAUGUGCGAUUGAAAUUCUUAGGUGUCGAAGCUGGGAAAAAGGCAGCAACAGAAGUAUUAACUCUUCAGAAACGGGCGUUGGCUGUACUCAAUGAGGCCAGGUAUUUUACUAGAACAAGCUCUACUAAGAUGGAAACUAUAAGCUCUUGAGAAAUGGGUUUCUAGUUCAUUUUCUUGAAAUUCAGAUAGCUUUGUUAAUUUUGCCUUGGUGUUGCAUUUUUCACCUACAAGGAGCUUGUCGAGCCAUUGACUCUUGAAGAAGUAGCUGAACAUUGCCAUGCUCCUGAAGAGGUAAUCUGCCCAAUCCCUAGGCACAAUUUAGCAAUCCACAACUUUUGAAUUUAGCUAAUCCUUUUCUAUGGCCUUGUGGAUGCAUAUUUAAAUGAUCUACAAGAUCAUCGCUCACAUGGCUGCCUACGACAGAGCAAUCAUUGCUGAGGGUAGUUGUGGAUCGCCUAGAAGCAUCAAAGUUUUCCUCGGGGAGUAUAAUGUUGAUGAGUUAUAUGCUUGAUUUUCGCAGAAGUUGGGUGUCUCGCUGCGCACCUCUUCGUAAAUUUUCAAUAAGUUGAUUUUGAUUGUGAUACUGAAUCUUCAUCAGAAUGGGGGAUAAUUUGGGAGAUGGAAUUCUUUUACUGGAAGAUCUUUGCCUUAUUUGGCUGAAGAUCUUUGUCUUUCAAAAUUUUUUGGAAUUCUAGAGUCUGCAUGUCACUUUACAACAUGCUCCAGGUAAGAUAAUUGUGGAUUCUAUUGACGACCUUAAUAGCUUCAGUAGCAAUUGGCAAUUCACUCUGCUAAAUUAGCAGGCUCUUACCAUGCCGCCAUAUGCAUGGAAAAGCGUGAAGCUGUCAAAGUUAAGAUAUGAGUUUUCACUGUACAUUUUAAGGAUAAAGCAGGUCUGUGCGCAUUAGUUGGACCAAAUAAUUAUUGUAGAGGCCAGAAUGUGUAAGUGUUUGCUAUUACUUGCCGGCAAAGGGCCCACUCCAUUGAAGUUAACUAUGAGGAAAACAAUACCAUAUGUGAGAGAUGAACUUUUUUCUGGACCCAGUGCUGUUGGAAUCAGUGACUUGAUUUGAGGAUUUAUUAUUUGUGUUCUGUGGUAACAUUUAUGGCUAUGCUAUGUGCUAAAAGUUUCCAGCAAGAAUCUCAGUAGUAUGGAUGUUAGCAUCAAAUCCAGAGUCGUUUGAUGUUCUUGAUCCACUUAAAAAUAGGAAAAAAGAAAGUAUUGCUUGAUGGAAGAUUUUAUAGGAGUGGUAUAAUCUGUGCUCUUUGUGACCUUGAAUGGUUAAGUGUGCUGUCUCUUAUACAAGCACCAUAUCACAAAUUAAUUAUUGAAAUUUGAAACGGUUAUUGCAUUAAUAAUGCAAAAGAAAAAAUAACUUAUCCAAGAAUAUCAUAAGGCUCAAGUGACCCAUGCACUUGGGAGAAAAUAUUGGAUACAGCUAAAUUGUUGUCUUUUUAGAUCGUCCUCAUUUUCCACGAGCGUCUCUAUCUUGAAUGAGUUUUAUGUUCAGGUUAUCACUGGAUAAUACUAGGAUGUAAUCUUGCAUUUCAUGUGCAAUGAUGCAAUAUCAUAACCUAAUGAAAAAAUUGGAAGUUGAUACUCUUUUCAAAAAGUGCAUGUGAAGAUUUCUCCCCCAUUGAGUUCAUAGCAAUGAAUGUUAAGGUGCAGUUUGCAUCCAAAAAUUUACUUGGUCGAGUUCAUAGCAAUGGAAAUCCCUCACAAACUCCUCCAAUGUCUUCAACAACUUACUGGUAAUCCUUUGCACUUUAGGAUAUUCGGAUGAUCUUUUCACCCUUGUGUCCUUACGCCAAUUGUAGAAUGCAAUCAACUCAUCAAUUUGCUUAGCGGCACUAGCAUAAACAUCAAAAGCCUUGACGCAAUCCUAGUACUCCAUAUUGACAAACUUAUCAAGCAAAACAGCCAAAACCUCAUAGAUAUCAGCAUAUACCUAAAAACUCUCCUUCACAAUAGUGUGCAAUGCAAAUUAGAUCAAGCCGCUAUUCUUCGCAAGACAAGUGGGCCUACAUACCAAGAACUGGUCCAAUAGCCUCUGCAAGUGGCCCAUUUUGUAUAAAAUCCUUUCUUGCUUCAUUUCCCUCAGUGGAGUCACUACCCUUCUAUCUUCUUUCUCUUCUUUCACAGCCACACCACCGCUCAUAUCCCCAUAUGACCUUGACCUUCUCAUCCCCCCAAAAUUACCAUAUUGUCCUCUAUAAUCACCAUAAUCAUAAUCAUUCGCAUGGUGGGGACCGAAAAUCAUCUCGAUUCCCAUACCUAUCCUCAUUGUGAACACUACCACCACCAUUAACACUUCCACUAGGACCGCCACUGCCGCUCUUUCUAUCGAACAGAAUCAACUCGAGUUGCUGACCCAAAUACAUAGCAUAAGUCCACGCAAAAGCCAAGUGGUCCCAUGAACUCGAGUGAGCCUCAUCUCUAAAAUCAGACAAAUUCAACAACCUACACCAUGCCCGGUCGCAUACGUUAUCUCCUCGCGAAAUGGGACCACGAGUGAGCCUCAUCUCUAAAAUCAGACAAAUUCAACAACCUAGCAUCAUGCCCGGUCGCAUACGUUAUCUCCUCGCGAAAAAUUGGGUCUCCGGGUCUCCAUCAUUCAACAAACGAUGGAUGACCACUAGGGAUUUGAGAGCCACAACGUAGCCGUGGGUCUUGCUCAGUCGCUUCGAAAGCGCAGAAACACACGCAAGAACGUAUCUGCGCAAGUAUGAAGCCAAAUUCAAGGUCCAACGAAUGUAUUUCUCAUCCACAGGAUCAUCAUCGUCGCUCGUGGCUUUCACGAUAUCUACUUUGGCCUCUUGCGCCAUGUUGCCCGCGACCUUCGCGAGGCUGAUGCUUGUGUGGUCCUUGACAGCCCCCAGCAUUUUGCGGAUCGUGCUUGAGACAUCUUCACCGUCACCCUUGCCUACCAAAACCGCACAAGUCAUCGAAACUAGUCACGCUUGACUCAAAAGCAUCACUUGAGGAUGAUGUAACCAGCUUUCCGGUGAUUUCACAAAAUCAACAGCACCAAUAAGCGUAAUCAUUUUAGUGCCCGAAGUCACCAUGCUUUUACUGCGAUUAAUCACGCGAUCGACGAAGCAUUCAGCUCGACCGAUGGCUUCACUUUACCUAAACCCCAUAUGUAGAUUCUAAUCAUUUCACAACUGCAGCUCACCAUGCUCCACUAUGCUUAAUAAAACGAUCAAUGUAGUAUGGAGCUCCGGGAAAUUACCUUUAGAGAAAGUGUAUCAGAUCUGGAGAAAUUAAGCCCCGGCGACGCAGACUUUGAACGCAGGAUGGACCUGCCGAUUACAAUCGCCGAUUGCCACUCUUCGUCUUCUGCGUCUGAGAGUGGCGAGAGAUGAGGCGAAUCUCCAAAGAGUGCGAUAAAAUCCGGACAAAACAGGCUCUGGCAGAGUCGGAACAACCGGCGAUUGUAAUCGACUGGACGGACCACAUCAUGAAGUUCCCCUCCUCCCCUGUCUGCGCUCUCAAUCGUCGCCUCCACUUCGAGGUAGCCGCAUCUCGCCAUCGCGUCGACGGCGCAGGUCCUUCACGCCGCUCUCGCGUCACUCUUCGUGGGGAUCUCUCUGGCUCCAUUGCUCGUGGGACCGGUCGUGUUCGUUAUUGGGCCCGUUUUGAUGUCCGCCCUUCUGGAUUUAUUCUUUUACGCGGCGGGAAUGAUGUCCGCUCCGUCGGAGUUGGCUCGGGCGACCCGUAAUCCAUUGGAUUCUAGUAAUAGGUUUUUCUUAAUCUGAGAAGUCAAAAGUAUCUUUUCGAUUCUAGUAAUUUGUUGCCUUGAUGUCUUGGCCAAAUCCAAUGAACUCAUCAGACAUGAUAACCUAACAUGUUCCUUUGACGAAACUUAAGCUUUACUUUAGUGCAGUUGUCAUCUAUAAAAGUGAAAAAGAUUUAAGUUCAAUUUAGGAGGUUCGGACGUGCAGACUCCGGCUUAUUAAACAUUGAUGGAGAAAUUUUCUUGUGGUCAGCCACCAAGGGCGCCAGUAGCAUGUACAUGAACUCUCACGGUCAAAUUUCCUGUGGACUUUAAUUGCCUGCUUGGAAUUUUCUUUUUGGUCAUACAAAAGAUAGCGCAUAGGGUUAGGAAGUGGUUAGAGAAAAGAAAAUAAAUUAAAAGCAAGGUUUUGCUCUUUUGGGUUUCCUUUCCUUGAGAAUCCUAAUUGUGGAAUUCCAUUAGAAAUUGGGCCACCGCACGAAGAGUAAAAGAAAGAACAUAUGAGCAUUCUUGAAUUAGCUGUGCGAAGGGUUUUGCUAUGGGCUUAAACACUCGGUGAUUUGCCCUAUGAGCUUUGCAAGCAAUUAAGUUGUUUAUUUAUAAACAUAUUUGGAUUUGGUCUUAAUCUAGAUGUGGGAGACACUCGAAUGUAAGUGAUUGUAGUUCUAAUUCUCAAAUUAUAGUGAAUCAUUGAUUGCUAGCUCUUUCUGGGGAUAAAUACCGACACUCAGAUCAAAUCUCGUAAAUAUUUGGUAUCUUUGUCCUUCCCCAUUUAUUUCUUCAAAGCUCAUUCUUGCGUUGAUUUAUUAGCAAGAUCUUCUCAAUUUUCACGUUAAUUUUGCAACAUGUCUACUUUUGAAAUGCCUCUAGUCAAGAUCACUUUCUCCUAAAAGCUCUAAUGCGAAGUAGAUUAACAGAUCUUCCAUGUUUAGAACCAUCCAACUUCCCAACGUUUUCUAGUGCAGUUUUUCGCUUGUACGUACGGACUCAUUGGGAGAAUCCAUUAUCACCCUUGCAAAGGAAGCAAUUUGAAUAAUGUUAAAUGGGCACUCAUUAAGUUAAACUAGCUGCUUUUUGUGAAUCCGAAAGGAAAUCUGUUAUGCUUUUUCUCUAGCGUGAAAUGUGUAAAAGCUACCAAGUAGUAAAUCUUAAUAUCUUGAAAAUAUAAGCAUUCUAUGUUAGUUGUGCCGAACAAUAAGAAGAGAACACUUCAAUUACCAUAUUUACAUCCUAUGUUAGUUUCCCAAGCAAGAAACCAAUUCAUUGUGAGUAAUCCUUCAACAUUUACUAAUUUUCAUGGUACCACCAUUUAAUUGCAUUCUAACUGUUCAAUAUGAUCUUGCGUUCCACUUGGGAACCAAGUAAAUCACAAGACCUGUGCUUUUCAUUCGAUAGAGAUUGAAUUAGUCAUAUAAAUUACAACAGUGACUAGGCUAGACUAGACUUAACGUGUGGAACACAUUAUGCCAAUAGAGACAUUCGGAAAAUUCCCCACCAAUGAAAUUUGGUCAUUGUGAAAGUUACAUACCCCGCCCCGCAUGCUACUUAACCUUGUCACCAUAAGGAGCUGACGUUCAUUCAUCACUACAAAUGACCAAGACUUUGGCCAUAACCACAACUUCUACACUCAAGUACAGGCAUCGCUGAACUCCUAGAAAAUUGCUGUAACUUGCAAAGAAGAAGUUAACUCAAGAGUGUGAUACAUAUAAAGUUUGGUCACUCGAAUCAGUAGUCAUGAAAAAGAAAGCAUUGUGGGCGCUUGUGGUGAUUUGGGGUAUCACAUGUGGUUCUCGUGGGUGUUGGGAACAAGAAAGGGUUGCACUCUUAGCGCUCAAUGCCACAUUUGACCUGAUAUAUAGGGUGGACACCGGGGGAUCAUAUUUCAACUGUUGUAGCUGGGAAGGUGUUGAGUGCAAUCCCACCACAGGGCGAGUCACUCAUCUAAUGCUCUUCUCUUCGAGAUAUUACCUUUCCGGCUUCAAAACUUGGUACCUAAACGCUUCUCUACUUCUUCCCUUUGAAGAACUCAAGAGCCUUGACUUGUUCAACAACCAUUUAACAGGGUGGAUUGCACCGGAAGGUAUAAAUUCACUGCUCGUUCAUUUCCUACAAAAGAAGAGAUACUCAUUAUCUAAUGACCUCAAAACUUAACCAUGUCUAGGUCCUUACUCACUUCCUGCAUUAUAGAUGAUUAUGUCCACGUCAUCAUUAAUCCACAAGUAUAUGACAUAUUUCCCCCCAAAAUGGCAAUAUCGAUUUACACGUGUACUAGAAUAGAUUUCCGCGAAUUUUAUUGCUUUUCAUUGUUUGUUUGCAGAACCAAAUCUGCUAUCUUCAAGGCUGAGCAAACUAGAGGAACUUGACUUGAGUUAUAACUCUCUGGAUAAUUCUAUUCUAUCCAUUCUCGGUACAAUUCCAUCUCUUCGACGUCUGUCCCUCGGUUACAACAAUUUGAACGGGACUUUACAUGUGAAUGGUAAAUUUCUCCAACUUAUUCUCUGCUCAUAAUUCAGUACGAAAUCGCCACCCUACAACAUAUUUCCCCUUUGAAAUGGCAAUACUUGUUUACGCGUGUACUUGAAUAGAUUUCUGCGGAUUUAUAUGCUUUUCAUUGUUUGUUUGCAGAACCAAACCUGCUAUCUUCAAGGCUGAGCAAACUAGAGGAACUUGACUUGAAUGGUAACUCUCUGGAUAAUUCUAUUCUAUCCAUUCUUGCUACAAUUCCAUCUCUUCGGUGUCUAUCCCUUAGAAACAGCAAUUUGAGCGGGACUUUACAUGUGAAUGGUAAAUUUCUCUAGCUUGUUCUCUGCUCAUAAUUCAGUACAAAAUCACCAUCCUUGACUUGAGUUAACACUAUUUGUGGAUGAAUUAGGUGGUUUCAAUAAUUUGAUGGAGCUAGACAUAAGUGGUAACGCUAUCGAUGCGGUGGCUACUUUUGAAGGUACUAUUUCAGUUUGCAUGAACAAGCCUCGUUUUUAUUCAUAUAUUAAACUAACUAGCCUAUGAGUCGUGCGGACUCUUUAAUACCAUUACAUGGGCUUCACAUGAUGAAUAUAGAAGUCAUAUAUUGCAACCCCCUUCUCUUUCCAUAUAGAAAUGUUGUUGAUUCAAAGGAUUCCUAUCCCGAGGCAUCUGCAUGGGUGCUUUCAUUAUUUACUUUGGAUAAUUCUAUUAUACCCGUUCGCGGUAUAAUUUUGACUCUUAGGUGUCUAUUCUCCAAACAACAUUUGAAUGGGACUUUACAUGUGAAUGUGAAUGAUAGUUUCUCCAGCUUAUUCUCUAUUCAUAAUUCCAUACAAAAUCGCUAUCCUUGACUUGAGAUAGCAAUAUUUGUGGACAAAUUAGGUGAUCUCAGUAAUUUAAAGGAGCUAGACAUAAGUUAUAAUGCAGUCGAUGUAGUGGCUAUUUUUUAAGGUAUUGUUUCAGUUUUCAUGUAGAAUCCUCAUUUUUAUUCAUAAAUUAAAUUGACUAGACUGUGAUUCAUGCAUGCUCUUUCAUAUCUUUACAUGUGUUUCAUAUUAAGAAUAUAGAAGUCAUAUAUUGUAAUCCCCUUCCCUUUUCGUAUACAAAUGUUGCUGAUUGAAAAGAUAUCUAACCCAAGGCAUCAGUGUGGGUGCUUUCCCAACUUAACUGCCAAGCAAGUUAAUUACUUGGAAUUUUACUGCUAGGCAUCAAAAACUUGAGCCACUUAGAGAAUCUCUACCUAGAUUAUGUCCACUUGAAGCAUGUGGGGACCGUCGUGCAAGCAUUAGGGGCACUGUCAUCUCUAAGGAUCCUUUCUCUCCAACAUAAUACAAUAGAAGGAACAAUUACUACUCAAGGUUAGUCAAACCUGCAAGUGAAUGUAUAUUCACAAUAACACCUCGUUCAUUACAGGAAAACAACUUUCAAGAAAAUGUUUUUUAGAUUUUCCAGUGUUCGAGUCAUGGAAAAUUGAUAAGUAAAGGAAAAUAUUUUCCUUCAAUGGAAAAAGCAUUUUCAAAAGUCAGGAUAAUGAGGAAAUCAUUUUCCAUUCUCUUUCAUUCACCUAGACCCAUUUUCCUCUGUGCACUCUUUUAUUUAUUUUUCUAUUUCAUUUUUUAAAAAUUCAAAUUCAAAAUUUUUAAUUUCUUUCUUUCUUUCUUUCUUUCUUUCUUUUUUCCUUCUUCCUCUGUUGAUUGUUGGUUACAACAACCGCCGGCAAGCAACCACAUGUGAGGAACAAGCUCAUCGAAGGUUGAGGCCUCGCCAAUCUGAUGAGGUCUAAGCUUAUCGGCCUCGAGCAAUCUUGACCUCACCUGUGACCAGUGAUCGGAUGAAGAAGAAAGAAAAGAAAAAGAAAAAGAAAAAAUAAUUAAAAAUCUAUUUUUAAAAUAAAAAUAAAAUAUUAAUGAAAGGAGUGCACACAUGAAAAUCAAAUUAAAUUUUUCAUACUAAACAUUGUAAAAUAUUUUCUAGUUCAUUUUCAGGUUCCAGCCGAGCACUAGAAAAUAUUGUCAUUUUCCUAAAAAUGACUUCUCGAAAAACAUUUUCUAGAAAAGUGAUAUUUUCCGUGAAACAAAUGAAGUGUAAAUUUUUAUUAAAGAAGCUCCAUUCACUCAUGAUAUCUCUGUACCAUUUCUUGAUUAUGCUUGUUUAAGGCAAUCUGAUGUUCGGUAAUCUUUUGAUUUCUGGGAAGAUUUCCAUAACUUCAGUAAGUUGGAACAACUCAUCUUGGAUGGUUCUUCAUUCAACCCAAGCAUAGGAAUCCUUUCCAGCCUUGGUUCGUUGACAUCCCUUAGAUGGUUGUCGUCAUCCAGCACCUAUCUAAGUGGCAACCUAUCAGAUCAUAGUAAGUUCUGAUCUCUCGGUGUAAAAGCUGGACAUAAAAUGGAUCCUUGAUGUACUUGAAUGUCCUCUUUGCAUGUACCAAUAUAUCUCAUUGGAGGAGAAUUGACUUGUGAUAUCAAUGGCAGGCUUGUGUAACCUGGUAAAACUAGAAGAGUUGGAUCUUAGCUUUAACGGAAUUACUGGCAGGCUUCCUACAUGUUGGCGAAACAUGUCCUCCAUUCGGAUUCUGAAUCUUGAAGACAAUGAAUUUACAGAUAGUGUCGUGUCAUCUCCCCUCACUAGUCUUACAUCUCUUGAAUUUCUUUCCAUUUUGGGCAGCCAUUUUGAUAUCCCCUCAUCACUCGGCCCACUUACAAACCAUUCAAGACUUAAGGUGCUAAUUCUUGAUGACACCAAACUAACAACUGAUACCAAAGUUGCAUCUUUGAUCCCGAGGUUCCAGUUGAAGGUUUUAAGUAUGUCAAAUAGUCCAUCAAGAGGAUUUGAAUUGACUUCUUUGGGCUUUCUCAAUCAUCAAUAUGACCUGAGAAUUUUGGAUCUCUCCUCGAAUGACAUUCUAGGUCCCUUUCCAGCUUGGUUGUUAGAAAACAACACCAAGUUGGAAACGCUUUUUAUGGCAAAUAACUUGUUUACAACAUUUAAGGUUCCAUCAAUGACCCAUUUUAAUCUUUCGUGCAUGGACAUAUCCAACAACAACAUGAGAGGAAAGCUCACUACCGAAUUUUGGGCAAAUGUCCCAAAUCUGUCCUACCUUAAUCUAUCAGCCAACAUAUUGGAAGGGACUAUUCCAUCUGAACUGGGUAGUGUAAAAUCCCUAGAUAUCUUAGACCUGUCUAGCAACAAUUUCUCAGGGGGACUACCUAUCCAGUUACUAGAUGGUAAAUUGAAUGUCCUCAGCGUGGCAUAUAACAAUUUGCAAGGAGAAAUUGUACUUUCCAACCACACCAUGAACCCAGGUUUGUCACGUCUACGGUUAGAGCACAACUUGUUCAAUGGAAGUCUCUCUUUUCUUUCAUCAAUCGUAAAUUUGCGGGAAUUGGACGUUAGCAACAAUAUUUUCACCGGCAAGCUUCCCAGAUUGAUUGCAAACAUGUCAUCGCUUGUGGCCCUUGACUUGUCCAAAAAUCAAUUGGAUGGCCUCAUCCCUCAAGAACUUUGGAAUUUUGGUGAGCUUGAGUAUUUGGAUUUGUCUAACAACAAUCUCUCUGGUUCAUUACCAUUAUUUUUUAUCUCAGAGUGGGUGCGUCACAUCCAUCUGAGUAGGAACAAAUUGAAUGGUACACUCGUGCAUGCACUCUCUAAUGGCUUACGGUUGGUGACCUUGGAUCUGAGUGAAAAUGAGUUCUCCGGAAGCAUACCCUAUUGGCUAGGUAGCCUCUCACAAUUGAAGAUUCUUUUACUGAAAGGUAAUAGCUUCUAUGGAACAUUUCCCGAGCAAUUGUGCAGAUUGAAAAGCUUAAGUAUGAUCGAUCUUUCUGAAAACAAUCUGUUUGGCCCAUUACUAGUUGCUUGGGACCCAUGAAUUUAUCCAAAGAUUACAUUGAUAAGGUAACUUCAUCAUCGGACAUUGGAUCUGUAAUUGCAUUAUGGUCACCUUGGUCUUAUGUGAGGAGAAAUAAACCCAAUACUGACUUUCAUUUUGUCUAUCAUAAAGAAGUGGAAGAAAAAUUUCAAGCUCCACAUACUGUUGGGUUCACAACGAAAGGAAGGUUUGAUUCUUACAAAGGCUACACGCUUCUUAAAAUGGUGGGACUCGAUUUUUCUUGCAACCAGUUCAGUGGCGAGAUCCCAUCGGAGAUAGCAAUCUCACAAGAAAUGCUUGUGCUGAACCUGUCACAUAACAAGCUUAUAGGACGUAUACCAAUGUCAUUGUCGAGCCUCACGAAGAUAGAGAGCAUUGACCUUUCCUACAACAACUUGAUUGGUUCUAUCCCUGAAGAGCUUACUCAGUUGAAUUCCCUAGAAGUCUUCAAUGUGUCUUACAACAACUUGUCAGGAGCCAUACCAAACAAAUAUCAAUUUGGGGCAUUCGAUGAAAGCAGUUACUAUGGAAACCAUCUUCUAUGUGGAUUGCCGUUGAGUAAGAAGUGCUCGACAACCAUUAACGAUAAUUGCUCAACAACAAAAUCACGCUUGUCAACUAAAGAAGAUGGUUUCAUAGACGAAGAGACAUUCUAUAUCAGCUUCGGAGUGUCAUACACGAUGGUUGGACUGGUAAUUCCAAUUGUUCUAUUCAUCAACCCCCAAUGGCGACAUGGAUGGUUUCACUAUGUGGAACUGGUUAUCAACACAUGUCAGAGCUUGUUCAUCACAUGUUACUAUUUUGUGCAGGACGGUUUUCGAAAAUUGUUCAGAGGCCAAACAUUUUAAGUUCUCUCGCUCUGCAUUUUCAAGUAAUGGCAGGAUUGGGUUUUUUUCCUAUUGUUUGUUAUUGUCGUUGAUCAACAUUGGCCUCAAUGUGGAUCUAUUAGGUCAGUGUAAGUUCUUACCUUCACAACUGAAUAAGGUCUUGUUCUACUUUCCUUGAAGACAAUACAUGGCGUGAUCCUCCCUCUUUCAAAAAGGUAUUUUUACGUAAUUGCUUGCUCAUCUCUAUUUGGUUGGGGAUCAUACUACUAACAAUGACAAACAACACGAGAAAGACACAGCUGUCUCCUCACCUUUUUUGUUUCUGCAGUAACAAAUUUGCUUUCCUUUCCGAAUAAAAGUUUUCGUCUCCAUAUAUCACUUGGUCCAUUCGCAAACCAUUCAAGACAUAAAACUCCUCUUGCUUGACAAUAUAGCACAAACAACUGAAUCUUCUUCAACGUCUUAGGCUCAUGGCCAAUCCGCAAGUUGGUUAGGACAUCGAUUUCCGUCUAACUUUUAUGAAGGUUUAGUUGUUCUUGAGUGUCUCCUGAGAUGGUUAAAUUCACGGUCAAACUUGCAUUUUUAUGACUACUUUCGUUGUUCCUGUCUUUGUGGAAUCGUUCUAACAUUUUGCUAGGAGCCUAGCUCUAGUUUAGAAAAAGAAGUACUGCAUUGAGGCAUGCCCUGUUCAGUAUGAAAGAGAACAAAUUUGUCGUCCUGAUGUCUAGGCCAAAAUGCGAACAAGAACCAACCUGGAUCGAGGCCCAGAUUGGUGCAAAUGUAUGAUUUCUAUUGUAAACAUUCCAUUCAUACGAGAAGGUCAGCACUGCUGCCAUUUUUACAAAUUGGUAGAAAAACGUAACAGGCGGUAUGUCAAUCAAAGUAAUAGAAACAACUAUCGGAUAAUCAUGAGCCUAUACUCACAAUCAAGAGAAAAAAGAAGCUGGACUCCUUUUUCGUAAGAAGAAAUUACUUCAACGCUUUAUGGUGGUUUCUACGAACAUACAAAAAAUGCAGCUUUGACAAGCAGUUUUGAGGACAUUCAUUCUGUUAUAAGAACAUUGUUCAUGACAAUAUAUAUUAAUAAAAAGUGAUGGUUGAGAUCCAAAUGCAGGCAAGACAUGCAAAGAAGAAUGUCAGGCAAUUAUUCCCAGUUGAUCUAGCAUGCAGCACAAUGUAGAUAUGCUUAGUCAUUCUGAUAUAUGAUUAAUUUGUAUUGAAAAAUAAUAGUGGCGCUGCCUUUGUAGGCUUAAUCGUGUGCUAAAUCAUAUCGGUGGAUGCUUUUGGGCACGGAUUUGGGUCAUCUAUUACAAUGGAUACAUUCUAUACUUUUGUGAUAGUAUAAUGUGUCAUAAAUCUAAGAAAAAAUCUUUUACAGUCAGACUAAUGCAUUGGCUAACUCAGAAAUACGUUGCGUGGUUACUAUAUUAUUUAACAAUAUCACUGGCAGAAUACACUGAUCAUUCUGAUCCACAAUUUGAAUCACAAAUCCUUCUUAUGGCAAAUUUACCACUCGAAAUAGUAAAUUAAGGUUCAAUAUAUUUUGGUGUGGAGCUAUUCAUCAGAUUUUCUUGUGAAAAGUAUAUCAUGUAUAGUAUUACCUCGUCCCAAAGUACAUACCAAGUAAGAAUUGGUCCUUCACCUAUAUAUCUAGCAUAAUAGACCAUCUGGUGCACAUAUAACUAAUAAUGAGUAAUAUUCCGACACAAUGAUCAAACAAGCCUACUUUCACAAUAUUACAUUUUAGAUGAGGAACAAUUUUAGUUAUGAUUGACAUUCCUCGUUUAAGAGUUGUCCUUGUUUCUGAAACCUUGGUUAGCAUCGUGUAAUAAAUUCCGAUUUUUAAACUCAAUAGCAACAGGGCAUCACAUCAAUUCAGUAGCAAGUUAUGGCAUUCUAAUGGGAAAGGACAAGGUGGCGCCACUUUUUUUUAGUAUAUGCAACCAACUAUUGAUCUGAACAGUUGGUAAACUCUUCUACAAAAUGACAUCCCUCACAAUACAUCUCAAUUCCCACAUUAUGCAUGUUACAGAUUAAGAAGCAUUGAAGCUUGGUACUGGAUAAGGCCAAAAAUGCUUAGAUUAUCAUAAGUAACCACAGAGCGCCAGUAACGGACCUCAUCCGUAGCAAAAACUUCCAAUGCAUCUUCACACUUUUGCCUCCUUAUAAGUUACUUUGCAUUUGAGUGAAGCAUCAAGCCCAUCAUCACAGCCAUGGAGAAAAUCCAAAAGGUUUUUUAAAUGCCAAUUCAAAACAAUUGCAGCUACAACAGCAGAUUGUGACCGACAAAAAAAAAAAAAAACAGCAGAUUGUGAGAAAAGACUGCUUGAGAAAGGAUUUCUUAAAAAACAAAUUAGUCUACUGCCAACCCUCUGAUCAGUUUCAGAUCCCAUAUUUACUUGCUUUCCACUCUGAUCUUCAAGUUCUAUGUUGAAGUCUUCCAGUGGAAAUUACCCAUCUGCAUGUCUCUUAGCCAGUGCAGUGGCGGAUGCUCUGUAUUUAGAAGGAUAUACACAUUUAAUUAUAUGAGUGGAUGUGCACAUACACGCACAGUAGCCAGAAAGACUACUGUCUCUGAAAACAACAAAAACGCUGGCCAAUAUCAUCAAAAAAUUAAUACAGGAAAGGGUACCACAAGAGCAGAUAAGCAUGUCCAUGUAAGUGAACAUCUCUAGGGAUGUAUAUCCAGAUUGCUAGGCUCAUCAGAGCUUCUGGCCAAGCAUAGAAAUUUUAUGGCAUAACUAUAAACAAGUCACUUUAUCAAGACAUGCAGUCUUCUUUUGAAUAAUAAUAAAGUCCUGUGCUCAGAGCCGAAUGCCUCUUUAAGUAUCAAGAUGCACUGCCUCAUGAGUUAAGUAACGUACGCCACACUAAGAACGUUGAUUGGUCCCAUGACUAUACGCAAAGUUGCUAAAAAGGGGUGAAAACCAAACUGAAUAUGCAUGCGAAAUACCUGAUGAAGGAUUGAUUUGGUGGUGGCCGCUUAGAAUUAAAGUGAGCUUGGAAUGAGGAGAAAGCAUCUUCCGAUGCAUCAAAGCUACUUAAGAACUUCUGCGCCACAGAAACGCCAAAAGCUUCAGACUGAGCAUUAUUAACCAAGGAAGGCAUCUCUUGAACUCGGACACACUCAUCCCAAGACCACAAAUUGCAUUGCUAUUUGACUCAAACCUGUUCUAGAAAAGCCGAGGCAUUUCGAGUUCCUUCACCUAUAACAAGAAUACGAAGCUCGCUGCCAUCGUUAAAAGAGAAAGGGAGAUGUAAUUGAUACACUGAACGUAGAGAAUUCUUAGCCUCAUCAAAUAUGAGCCCCCCUUAAUCACUCCAAGCAAGAUUUAUCAAAACCAUCAACCGAUUAACAAAGAGAGCAGCAGAAGCCUGAGAUAGAGAGCAGCAGAAGCCUGCUUUCUCAAGGCCAGCUGCCAUUCACCACAUUAUAUUUUACAAGGCCAGUCCAACAAUUCAGAAAUAUUCAGCAAAACAAACAAAUAUUCCUCACAAUGUACAUAAUAUAAACCAAGAAACAGAAAACAAAGAGACAAGUUCCUUAUAAAUUCACCAUAUAUUCGAUGCAACGAAUCCAAUAAGUCAACAACUUUGCUGGACCAAUCAAUUAGUACACCUAUCCGCUGCCGGGAACCGGCAACCAAGUCAAAAUUAAGCGAAAAGAUAGACGAUUGCACCCUCGCACACGCACUGGAACGAGUACCCAACCCAAGCAAGCCUGCUGGACCGCUCGUCCUCGGCCAUGGCCUCUUCCUUGAGUGACUUGCCCUGGUCAACGCAGACGCGGGUCGAGAGUAUCAUGGCGUUGCCCCUGACGCCGAGCUCACUCAGCUUCGUCGCCCCGUCACCGUCCAGCUGUCCAGCUCGACCUCGAUCACGCCGGACCACGUGCCAGCCACCUUCAGCUUCGCCGCCAUUGAUGGGUCAGUCGAGAUCAGAGAGAAGAGAAUUGACUGAGAAAUUGAAAGAUCGAGACUUUUAUAGUGUGGGAGUUUUUGCGGAAUUAGUGCCAGCUUUUCAAAAUGUAUAAGUUGUUAAAUGAAGGCAUUAUUUAAUAUGUAAAUAUUCUAAUAUUCGCCCUCAAGCACGGACUAGAUUUUGGCCUAAGACCAAUUUACGGAAAUAUAUAACUGGGCAGGCAAAUGAAGUUGUCUGUAAACAUUCAACCUCAGAAUCUUUUGCUCUAAUACCAUGUGAAAUUUUUGUAGGAUUAAUGCUACAACUUAAGUUGUCAAAUAGAGGCGUGAUUUAAUAUUUCAAUAUUGACAAUAUAAAUGAAGUGACAUUGAAACAUAAGCAACUAUCCAUAAGAAAUCUGUCACAAGCAAACCGCAGAUUGCGAACCACUAACACAGAUUUUAAAGGACCUUCACAAAAUAAUUCCAGUAAGUACUUCAAUUAUGCAACAGUUCCUUACCCAAUGGAGACCAGUUCAUUCAAUCUUCGGAGGUCCACAGGUUUCUUCAUGAGCGUCACUUCAUAAGACUUUUGCUCACUGCAAAAUUUAAUAGAUUUUUUAUGCUACCCAUAGAAAUUUGUAGGUAUAAGUAGACAAGAUAUAGGGGCAAUAUGAAACACCCCUGAGCUCCUUUCUUCGCUUUAUAUCCCCCUCACGUUUCUGUAAUUUCUUAGCCUUUUCCUCGAUUAGAAAAUCAACAGCACUCCCAACAUCUUGGUUGGUCAUACGAAGUGCCCUCCUGGCAUUACACUCCUUGAAGCCCAUGCUCAUGACUAGUGAUAAAGAUUCAUCUGGCACCUGCAGCUGAGAUAACCAAAAUUGAAUUGUCAGCUUGGAAAAGGGAAAAAGUCAAGGUAACUAUGAGGAAAUAAGAGACGAUUUGAAAAGACAUGGACAGUCAGAUGAUAAGUUCCCAAGCAGAAGAGUUAGACCUAUCCUACCAUUAACUUUGGUGUGAAUUUUUUUCUCAUUUAAACAAAAUAUCCAGAAAUUUACUCUCCAUGAGUUGUGGAAUUACAAAUGUUCUUUCAGUGCUGCAACAAAAUUAGAGUCCUAGUUCCUUAAUCAUGCAUGCAAAUGAGACACGAUCUGCUGGUUGAUCAUAAUAAUAAGUCCUGCUUGCAGAAAUGACCAAGAGAGACUCAAGGAAACAGCUUAAAUAUAAUGUGACAAAUGCAAAGGAAAUAGUACUCUAAAAAUGCUGAAACUUUAGAAAGAUAGAUAUGCAAGGUAUAAAUAAAUACCUAUCAAUAGCUCAAAGAAUAAGAGAACAAAACAUGAGCAAAAUAAUUAAAAAAAAAAAAACUAUUUGUCACAUGAAUUGCUACAGAAGAAUUCGGUACAAGCAUAAAAUGGGGCUGAGCACCUCAAUAACUGAAUAAGACUUCUUUACUAACCAUGAGGAACUUUUCUUGUGCAGAUGUCAAUGCUUUUCGUGACUUAUUGACAUGACCACUGUGAUAAGCUACCACUCCUUCCAACAGCUCUGACCACAAAUGCCUGGAAGUUAAUUAUUCCAAUUUAUUAGUCUGAAGCCAAUAUUUCAGGAUAAGAAAGUUCUCUACACAUACUGCUACAAUGCUGGGAUGAAAAAUUGCAAAACUGAUGCUCACAAAGCAAUCUCUGGAUAGCAACCUCCUUGAAGGAGUCUUAACACGAAAGUAAUCCUUUCCAUGAGCACGCUCAAUCCCUUCUCUGGCCUUUUGCAGUUGAAUUCCAGCCACAGAGAGUGAUGAGAUGUCUCAAAGCAUGAAAUAGCACCAUACCAUGUCUAUUUGCAGUAUAGGAACAUUGUCAACCAUCUGAAACCAAAGAACAUGAAGCAGAAUAAGUCACACCGACACAUUCAUAAUCUCUCUGUGCACACAUCAAAGUAUUAACAUACCCCCUUCCCAAAGAAGGAGGAAAAGUGGAUUUCCAUGAAGUCCAAGCCGCAAGCCACAUCAACUGUGUUCAGGUGAAAUUAAAAUAGUUCACAAUUCCCGGACUAACUUGAAAAUUUGGUGCAUUCAGUCAAUUAUAUGUGAAAUGAAUGCACCGUGAAUCACAAUGAGAAAGGACAGGCUUAGAAAUAGUCACAAUGUAAAUAAAUAGCGAAAUAUUUGGAAAAGCAUUUUCAACAUGAGCGGCUAUCUUCCUCAAAUUAUAGAGUGCGAAACAUCCACUAUAUUAUCAGAAGCUUCUGCACCAUCAUAUCAUCCAAAGAACAAUUAUAAAAUAGAAGAAUGAGUACAGACUAUAUUACAUAAAACUCCCAGGUGAACACAUGCAGACUUCUUAACUUGGGAGAAUAUCACUGACCUCAAUGAACUGGGGAUUGCAGAGAGAGAAGGACUCCUGCAUGGGGAAGAAAGAAUGGUUAAAGUAAUCAAUUUUUAUAAAUUAGUAGAAAAAAUAACAGGCGGUAUGUCUAUCAAAGUAAUAGAAACAACUAUCAGAUCAUCAUGAGCCUAUGCUCACAAGCACGAGAAAAGAGAAGCCAGACUCCUUUUUUCGUAGUAAGAAAUUACUUCAAUGCUUUAUGGUGGUUUCCAAGAACAUACAAAAGAUGCAGCUUUGACAAGCAGUUUUGAGGACAUUCAUUCUAUUAUAAGAACAUUGGCCAUGACAAUCUAUAUUUAUAGGCAAGACAUGCAAAGGAGAAUGUCCAGGCAAUUAUUCCCAGUUGAUCUAGCGUGCAGCACCAGGUAGGUAUGCUUAGUUAAUUCUGAUAUAUAAUUUAAUUGUAUUGAAAAACAAUAGUGGUGAUACUUUCAUAGGCUUAAUCUCGUGCUAACUCAUAUUGAUGUAUGCUUCUGGGCCUGGAUUUGGGUCAUCUAUUACAAUGGAUGCAUUCUAUAUCCUAUAUCUUUUUGUGAUAGUAUAAGGUGUCACGAAUCCAAGAAAAAUCUUUUACCGUCAGACUAAUGCACUGGCUAACUUAUAAAUAGGUUGUGUGGUUUUCAUAUCAUCUAAUCAUAUUGCUGGCAGAAUACACUGAUCAUUCCAAUCCACGAUUUGUAUCACAAAUCCUUGUUAUGGCAAAUUUACCACUUCAAAUUGUAAAUUAAGGUUAUUCAAAAUGUUUUAGUGCGGAGAUAGUAUUACCUCGUACCAAAGCAUAUAUCAAAUAAGAAUUGGUCCUUCACCUGUAUAUCUAGCAUAUUAGACCAUCCGGUGCACAUAAAACUAACAUAUUGAAGUCUUCCAGUGGCAAUUACCCAUCUGCAUGUCUCUUAGCCAGUGCAGUGGCAGCUGCUCUGUAUUUAGAAGGACAUACACAUUUAAUCAUAUGAGUGGAUGUGCACAUACACACACGGUAGCCAAAAAGACUACUGUCUCUGAAAACAACAAACACACUGGCCAAUAUCAUCAAGAAAAUAAUACAGUAAAAGUGUACCACAAGAGCAGAUAAGCAUGUCCAUGUAAAUGAGCAUCUGUAGGUAUGUACAUCCAGAUUGCCAGGCUCAUCAGUGCUUCUGGCCAAGCAUAGAAAUUUUAUGACAUAAUUAUAAACAUGUCACUCUAUCAAGACAUGUUCAGAGAAGUCUUUUGAAUGAUAAUAAAGUGCCCUGCUCAGAGCCGAAUGCCUCUUUAAGUAUCAAGAUGCGCUGCCUCAUGAAUUAAGUAACGUAUGCCACCCUAAGAGUGUUGUUAGUCCCACGACUAUACGCAAAGGUUGCUAAAAAGGGGUGAUAACAAAACCAAACAUGCAUGCGAAAUACACAAUAAAGGAUUGAUUUGGUGGUGGCUGCUAAGGGUGCGCAUGGAAACACUUCUGUUUCUUUUUUGUUUCUGGAACAGAAACAAAAAAAAAAAAAAAAGUGUUUAUGUUCCGGGGAACAGUUUUUGAACAAAAGAACGCGUUUGGUAAGUGUAAAAAAAAAAAUGUUCUUGGAAUAAAAAAAGAACAAAAACAUGUUUGGUAACUGCAGUCAAUUUCUGUUCCUAGAAUAGAAAAAGAACAUAAACACGUUUGGUAAACGACAAAAAAAUUUCUGUUUUUUUUAUUAUUUUUUUGAAAUUUUUUUUAAUAAAGUUUAAAAUUGAUAUUGAAUGCUCAUUCUUAUGAAAUGCUCAUUAAUUUUCUGUAGUCAUCUAUUUAAUUUAUUCUUAAUACGACAAAAAUUCUCCCGUACAUGCGCCGUAACCUGGUAAGGAAGCAAAAACAUUCGAUGUUUUCAUCAGCUACUGUCUAGUUGGUUUGCCAUUCUAAAGUCAAAACAGGGCUAGAGAUGCACCAACACCAGUUGACAGGACUUUUGGAGUAGCUUUACUGCCAUGCUCCAGAAAACCAGACCCCUCAAAUUUGAUUGUGCAUAUCAGAGUGAACAUACACACAUUGAUGUAAACGGGGCAAUGAGCUUAUACACAAUACAAUACACACUGAUAUAAUUGCAUGGUGAUAGUUACAAAAUGAGGACGAAAUCGCGUGAGACAGUAGAAAAAGGAAAGGACGGCGACUUGCCGAUCGCUUUUCCUCUCACGUCAGGCCCCAAAUGGUCAUUAUCUAUAAUCUAUACUAGCAAGUCAUUUGGGAAACAGAAAAGGAAAAUUAGUCCACAAUAAUUACAAGCGAUCUGUGUCCGAGCUUCUUUCUAUCUUUUUGCUGAUCUUUAAAUCGUCUAUUGCUUUGGUGAUUCCUCAGAAGUCACAAGAAGUUCCCAACCUCUGCUUCGAGCUGUUGCAUCUAGCGUUCUCCGUGACCUCGGGCAAGAGCUUCUCGAAGAUUUCAAGGAAUAGUACCCACUCAUCUUCGCUCAUAUCUCCGAAAGAGAUCCCCUCACCCUCGUUGUCGUGUUGCUGCACUGCAAAACUCAUGCUCCGGUUGAAAGUCCCCAGCUUGGGACGGUUGAUGGCAUCGUCAUGAUUUUCACCCUCAUCGUCUUCCAUCGCAUAAAACUCAUAUUCACAAUUCAGGGUGUCGUUUUCCUCCCUUUUUGGAGAUAAUAACACAUCAGGCAGCCCAGACAUUGACUUGACAGAUAAAAACCUAGGAAGUUUACGUGGCCUAGCCGUCUCAGGGAGGUCCAAGUCCUCCUUCAUGUCAUCAUCAUUUUCCAUGACAAACUGAGUAGCUUCAAGGUCGUCUCCUUCGUUUGUUUCAUCAACAGGCACAUCGCCGCCCAAAGUAAUCAGCAUGCUGGCCUUGGAUUGAAUGCACAGCUCCUCCAAUAAACUGAGACUCUCCUGCCCACAAGAAAACUGGCGAGUCAUCAUCUCACCUAUAUCUGCAAGACAGAAGCCAGCAGCUGCGGUGUGCUUUAGAAAGAUGGUGCAUAGGAUGAGAACCUGGACAGAGGAGCUGCUGCUGCAGCUCCUCUGUCCGGGUCAUCAUCUCACCUAUAUCUGCAGCUCGCUGCAGCUCGAGCGAGUUGCUGCAGCUCGCUGGAGCUCUAGCGAGCUGCAGCUCGAGAUGCUGCUCCAACAGCUGCAGCUCGCUCGAGAUGUUGCUCCAGCAACUGCAGCUCGCUCGAGCCUCGCUCGAGAUGCUGCUAGAGCAGCUGCAGCUCGCUGGAGCAGCUGCUCAAGCUGCAGCUCGAGCUCGCUCUCGAGCGAGCGUUGCUCCCCCUUCGGCUCGAGCGAGCCGUCCCAGAUCUGUCGCACCGAAGGGGGAGCAACGCUGACCGGAGAAGGAGGAGCGCUGAAGGGGGAGCAACGCUGACCGGAGAAGGAGGACCACCAGAAACGUACCUGGAGUCACCGGAGUGAGGAGUCGCCGGAGAGUCAGCCGAGUGGGAGCCGCCGGAGAGAUGGGAGAGACGCCGGAAAAGGGAGAGCACGAGAACGAAGCUUCAGCCGACGAGAGCCACGAGCACGCACGAAGGAGAAGAGCUUCAGCCGGUGUUCUUCCUUUGUUCCGGUUUUGUUUUUUUGUUCUUUUCGUUUUUGUUCUUUUGUGCCUUCCAAGAAGUGUUUCUUUUCAAAAGAAACAACUUUUUUAUGUUUCUUUUUUCUGUUCUUAUUUUGUUCCGGGAACAAAAAAACAAAAAAAGAAUAGAAACGCAACCAAACACGUUUCUGUUCUUUUUUUGUUCCCGGGAACAAAAUCCGUACAGAAGUGUUCCGGAAACGUUUCUUAGAAACGUUUCCAUGCACGCCCUAAGAGUUAAAGUGAGCUUGGAAUGAGGAGAAAGCAUCUUCCGAUGCAUCAAAGCCGCUUAAAAAAUUUCUGCAUCAAAGGAACCCCAAAAGCUUCAGACCGAGCAUUAUUAAUAAAGGAAGAAAUCUCUAGAACUCGGACACGCUCAUCCUAAGACCAUAAAUUGCAUUGCUAUUUGACUCGGACCUGUUCUAUAAAAGCCAAGGCACUUCGUAUUCCUUCACCUAUAACAAGAACGCAAAGCUCGCCGGCAGCAGCGGGAGAGAAAGGGAGAUUUAAUUGAUACACUGAAUGUUGACAAUUCUUAGCCCCAUCAAAUAUGAACCCACUUUAAUCACUCCAAGCACGAUUUAUCCAAACCAUCAACCCAUUAACAACGAGAAGGGAAAGAAUAAUAGAGAUAGAGAGUAGCAGACGUUCCGGAGAGGCGAGCUGCCAUUCUCCACAUUAUAUUUCACAUGGCCAGUCCAACGAGGUGUACGAUCCAAUUACACUUACCCAACUUCUGAGAAAAUUCAGCAAAACUAACAUAUUGCUUACAAUGUACAUAAUAGGAACCAAGAAACAGAAAACAAAGAGACAAGUUCUCGAUUAAUUCACCAUAAAAACGACGCAACGAAUCCAAUAAGCGAGGAAAGUCAACAACUUUGCUCGACCAAUCAAUUUGUACACCUAUCCGCUGCCGGGAACUGGCGACCCAGUCAAUUUUAAGCGAAAAGAUAAACGAUCGCACACUCGCGCACCCACUGGAACGAGUACCCGAAAACACACGCACAAACAGAAACACUGAGAAAUUGAAAGAUGGAGACUUUCAUAGCGUGGGUGUUGAGAUCGAGGGAGAAAGGCGUCGCCUUUGCUUGAUGAGCAAGAUUUCAAAGCCGGGGUCUUUCUUCUUCUUUUUUCUUCUGCUUUCAGCUUGAGUUUGGCACAUAAAGAUGGGAUUAGCAUUUAUUUUGAUUCUAUUUGGCUUUGGUGUUGUCUCCGGAUGAGGGAAUAUAUGUAGAUAAAAUUGACGAUUCAAUCAUUCGAUCGGAAGCAUAUGCCUCUUAGAGAUUGUCAUGUGAAUUCAGUUCUCAAUUUCAAAGUAGAAUUGUUUUAAAACAAUAGAUAUAAUGGAGAUGAGUUUCUAACUUGGAAAAGUCGAGAAAUUCAUCCAUGGCGUAAUCACUAUGUUGAUUGUCCACAUGAUAUAUUUUCUUAAGAUAAUAUUAGUAUUAAUUAAACUAAGUCCUGGUUCCUUAAUUAACGUAGAGUAGGUUUUAAAUCUCUUAUAGGAAUCUACGCACCUUAAAACAGAUCAUCUUCGUGAAGGCAUAAAUGAAGGCUCGUUGAGAUAUAAAGUUUCACUUCAGAAUAAGAUUGUUUUCCUUCUAUGAUUAGUCAAAAAGUUGCUAACUAACUUCUCCAAUUUACAAGAGCCAUAACUCAAUUCACACGCUCUUCAAACUCCGAUUGACAACCGUGCUUAAUCAGUGGUCUUCUGGCGAUGGAUAUAAACUAAGACAAAUUUUUGCCCCGAAGAACAAGGGUAAAAGGGAACAAUGGCGUCAGUGCCUCUUCUGAACAUUAUCAUAAGGAAUCCACACCUAUUAUGAUCCUAAUUGCAAGGUAUGGGGACUUGGAUCACGGUAUGAGAUUUUGAUGUGGGGUUUAUAUGGUGUUUAGCUCUUUCACGCUUUUGGGGUGUGGCUUCACUAAGAUCCUAUAACAUAACCCUGCCAUAGAAUGUUCGUCUUUGAAUCUACUGCGUCUAACAUUGAAUUAUCCAUGUUAAAUCACCCUGCUCCAGAGCUGCAGACUGACUUCCGAACAGGACAUUCUAAGAUAGGACGACCCAUCAAAUGUGAUUGAUAGAAUUAACGAGUAUGUCUAGAUGCCCAGAAAGCGAAGCAACGAGGGGCUUUGCAAAUAGCUUGAGGCUCAUAAGUUUUGCUUGCGUUGUAAAGCAUUGAAUUGAGGUAGUUGCUGACAUAGUUGUCGCUGCCGAUUGAGAAGGCGAAGAUCAACUUGGCUAAAUAGCUGGAGAACUCAUAAGAGCUCUUGACGAGUCUUAGUAAAUCAUUGAGGGUGGCACUAUCACACUACCUCACUUGGUCAUUCAAACUAAGACAUUUGCCCUAAAAAAAUAGUUCCCACAUCAUGUGUUUUCAAGGUUCAAGUCAAGCCCGUUACAAGACGAUAUUUUUAUUUUUGUUCAUAAUGUCCAUGCGAAAUUUCACGUGUAGUUUAUAUGGUUAGAGUCCUUAAAGCUUGAUAUCAAUUGAUGGACAUCAUUUGUAAUUUUCAAUUUUGAGACUAGUUUAUAAUUUGAAUUUAGGAGCACUUUAAAUGAUAACUUCAUAAAAAUAGACUUAUUUUACCUAUUUUAUACAAUAAAUAAUACAAUAUCUGUGAAAAAAAAUUUGAUUAUCCUUCUAUUUAUUCAAUUUUCUUUGUUCAUGCAGCAUCAUGAUAUAUUGAGAAAAUAAGGAAAAUAAUGGCAAAAGAAGGAAAGAAAGAUUCUUUGAUUCACGAAGUCAAAUUAAAAGCAUUGGAAGAUGGACAACGAAUCAAUGAUUCUGCACAAGAGAUGUUUUUUUAUGUGACUACAUGGGUGACCUUUUGGGAAAUUAACUAUAUGUAUUGUAAAUCUUAGUAUGAGAUGAGUUAAAGAACACAAACUCAGCAAAGUUAGAUUAAUGGGCGCCACAUUAAUUGAAUUAAAUGGGACUACAUCAAGAACUAUAAAGAAAAGAGAACAAACAGAAGAUGAGGAAACUUCAUGCUACAAGCCAAAAAUGAGUUAGUUAUGGAAUCAAUCUUAGGGAUAUAUGCUAUGUUCAUAUGCUCAUUGAUGAGUUGCUCAAACUUGAACGUGAUUGAUUGUUCUUGAUGAACUUGGAUGAUUAAACUUGUUUAGGCUUGAAUCUACAUUUUCGUAUCUACUGGACUGAUAGGAUGUUUCGGCCAAAAUGAGGUCUGAAACGACGUGGUCUUAGUUCGAGUUCUCUUAGACUUGUAAAAUGCACAUCACUAGCUUCGAAUUGAUAGGUCGCAGGCCCCAAUUGAGCGACGUUUGGCCCUCGAAAAAUAUCUCUGAAAAUGUGCGAUUCUGCAGUAGUUUAGGUCAGUUUUUGGUUCUGUUUUAGUUCUGACUUCAACUUUUGCUAUUUUUGCGCUGCAUCCUGUGUUGACUUUUGGAAAAACUUGUCUUCAUGAAAGUUGUUUGUUAUUGUCUUGAGUAUGUCCUGUAAUGUUUUUGGAAUUUUUGGACAUGUUAGCUAGGUCGAAACCCCUCAGAUUUGAGAUAGGGUCAAUCUGCCCUUUCUUGAUCUGAAAUGGAUUUAAGAAGAAUUGACCUUGUUCAAUAUCAAGUCCUUCAUGAAAGAUGAAAUGCAUAUUAUAUGUGUUCAAUUGAUGCAUGAUUUCCAAAGUUUUGAUAUCGUUUAAUGCAUCGAUUGCAUGCAUUAAGGUAAAUGGGUGUUGCAGAAAAAUAAACCUUGUAUGUUGCGUGUUUGUUUUACUAUUUUUGUCACAACUCGCGUGUUCUUAAUUGAGUUUCAAACUCUUAACAAAAAAUAUUCAUCAUCGCAUGUUCUGUAUGUGAGAUUUUUCGUUGGAUUUUUGCAUGUUCAUAGGUGACUGAAAUCAUGCUUGUUUUGUAGCGUUAAGGUUAAGAUGAAACCUCAUCAUGUAUGCGCUUUAUCAUGCCCAUUUGAGUCUAUUAGAGACUAAAUCUUGUGUUGAUGUGUUCUUAACUUUUAAAGUACAUAUAACAAGGUUUGUGUGCAUAUGUGAAUUGUCAUUUACUUUAUGAGCACCAUGCCAGAAUUUAUUGCCGUUGGUACUUUUUAAAUUGCUGCUGUCAGGACAUGGUAACACUUCCUUACAAAGACAGCCUUCUGUUAUUUAGUCAGUAUCUACAGCAAUUUGACCCGGAUGGCAAUCGAGUAUGUGUUUAUUUUUUGGGUGAAAAUAGGGAGUUUCAUCUCCAUCUCUAGUUUCCAAAAUGUUAAACCUCAAAUUGUUCAUUUCACAUGUCAAUCAAGGGCAUGCUGUUUAUGGAAAUAAAGGAAGCACAUAUCAGCAUACGUAAAUUAUUUUUUGAUAAGGUAAUGGCACUACUACUUUUACAUGCCAGUGACGUGAUUAUUCCUGAUGCACGUUAUUGUCCUAUUUCCAUAUAGCUACAUACAACAUCUGAGACAGGGUGUGCACAACUUCUUCGGAACAUUCAUUGAAGUGCUUCGUGAUAGACCACCUGGUCAUGAUUGGGAGUUUGAACCAGGUUUUACCUGUAGUGACUAUCCGUUUGGAAUGCUUCAGGUUAGUUUGCAACAAGUGCUACUAAAAUUUACCUUUAAGAAGAUUCUAGCAAUAGCUGAAGUUCCUAUGUUUAUUGUUUCUGAAGUUUAAGAUCUGACACUUCUCUUGGAAAGGAGACAUGAGUUCAGUGGGUGAUUUACUUAUAGUCACUCGGUUGUUUUCUACAAUUGAUCUCUUUUAGAUAUGGUGAACUUCUUUAGGGGAUAGGGUUUGCUCUGUAUGCCAAUGAUCGUGAGUUUAUAACAGUCACUGUCAAAGAAGUGACCCCUAAAUCAGUGGGGGCUCUUAUAGCAUUGUAUGAGCGAGCAGUUGGGAUAUACACCUCACUAGUUAAUAUUAAUGCCUAUCAUCAGCCUGAUAAAUAGUUUACCUUAUAAUUCUUAUUUAAAUUAGAUUAUUGCUAUAUGUUUUGUGCUUAUUGCUAUUGAGAAUAUGUCUGGCCUCUCUUUGAGUCAAGAAACCCAAUCAAUCAUCCAACUGGCUGUCUUUUUUCUUGGCCAUGUGCGAUUGAAAUUCUUAGGUGUCGAAGCUGGGAAAAAGGCAGCAACAGAAGUAUUAGCUCUUCAGAAACGGGCGUUGGCUGUACUCAAUGAGGGCAGGUAUUUUACUAGAACAAGCUCUACUAAGAUGGAAACUAUAAGCUCUUGAGAAAUGGGUUUCUAGUUCCUUUUCUUGAAAUUCAGAUAGCUUUGUUAAUUUUGCCUUGGUGUUGCAUUUUUCACCUACAAGGAGCUUGUCGAGCCAUUUGAAAUAGCUAGUACUAGUACCUAGAGGGGGGGUGAAUAGGUAUACAAAAAUUUCUCGAAGCUUGCACGAUACUAAUUGGAGGAUUUGCAACAGUUAAAAAUUCAAUCGCAAGACUGAGUAAGGGAAAGAGAGAAUUGAACACUCGGUUUAUAGUGGUUCGGCUUGAUUCAAGCCUACGUCCACUCUUCUGCACUGACAGCCGAUUGGCUGGAUUCCACUAUGAUCAAAGAGUUGUUACAGUGUUGAUCUUCCUUGAUUUCUAGGUGUAGAUGAUCUACCACACUCACUCAAGGCGUCACCAAGUAUAAACACUCUCUGUAUACAAUUUCGCUCAGUCUCAACUAACAAUCAAGGAUCUUCAGACUCUGGAAUUUUUCUAUCGAUCACUCACUUAAAACAACUAGAACGUCUUCCUUUUAUACUCCUUCAUGCCAUCAUAGCCGUUGGCACUUACCAAAGGAAUUCCUCCAAUCUACCCGUUGGACGGAAUCAAUCAAGAAGAUCAUCCGAGCUAUUUAAGGAAUCUGAUGAUAGCCCAUCAAUCCUGUUCGCCCAUACAAUCAGGAUCUCGGUUUCCAAGAAUAGAAUAAUCCAAGAUUAUUUUGUCGACCAUCGGAUCUUCAAUCGAUCUUAGAUAAGAAUUAAAGAAUCCGAAAUGAUUAUCCAACCAAAGAAUCUAUUCCAGAGGAUAGGAUCGAAUCCUCAACCAUAAACCUCGGCUUUGGAUUUCCUUCAACACUGGAUUAGAAAGACUGUCAGUGAGAAUAGACUUAAGUCUUGAGUCCUGAGUCUUAAGUUUUGAGUCUUGAGUCUUAAGUCUUGAGUCUUGAGUCUUGAGAGAACAAAGUCUUCAGACUUUAAACUGACGGUCUCCGAACAUCCAGACUUUAGACUGAAAGAAACGUUUUGUCAGCUUCAAAAUAUUCUGGAAAGAUUUCUCCAACAAUCUCCCCCUUUUUGAUGGUGACAAAACUUUCUUGAAGAUUUGAACAACUUUGACCUGCAAAACAUUUCUCAAGCAAUAUGGCUAACUCAUAAAGAUUAAUAAAACAACCAGACUCUGCAUCCACAGAAAAUUGGUUAGUCUUUCAUGAGAAACACCAUAUAACAACACUUGAAUAAAUGCAACCAGUCAAGUUCAUAAUCCACAGCCAAUUCAGUCAAAUUCACACCCAAGUUCAAGUUCUCAAGUCAUACUCAAAACUAAACAUAACCACAAAGGUCAAAGUUUUAAAAAAUGAAUGAAAGUUCAAAUUGGUUCUCCCCCUUUUUGUAAGCAUUGAAAAGGGUGAGAAAGGAGUCAUGUCUGCUUGGGAAUGCGCACAAUCUGGAAAUCCCCAAUGGACUGGACUACUCCUUCGAGCUUCUUCAGGUCUUCUCGCAGAUGAGCUACCUCUUCUCUCUUGGCAUUGGCUUGAAGUUGCAUAGCGAGGUCUUUGAAUUUAUCUUCCAGAGAGACUAAAGAUGCUUGUCCAGCAUGCUUCAAAGCUUGGAUUUCACAGUCCAGAACAUAUAUCUGGUUACGCAUUUCCAGAAGAAUAUUCAUGAUACUACGAAGAUCUGCAGAAUCAUCCGUCUGUGUACUGGCAUUGGCUUUCUCAGAUGGUGUGUAUGCAGACGAUGGCGCUUCUGUUUGGUCUGGCAGAUUUGGAAUCGAUGUAUCACCUUCUUCAGGCAAUUGAGAGACCUGAACUUCUUCUGGGUCUUCUGGAGAUUGUCUUAGAUCUUCAGCAGCAUGAGGUGUAGACCUCUCUUGCUCGCUAACUCCCCCUGUCUCUAGGACAUCGAAAGGGGAAGAGUGAUGAUCAUUCUCUUUAUUUCCCUUCUCUCCAGAUUUAUCAGCAGACUGUUUUUCUUCUUCUCCUUCUUCCUUAACUUCUUUCUCCUUUUCUCUCUGUUCUUCUUCUUCUCUGCUCUGCUGAAGUUCUGUCGGAUAAGACACAGAACGUCUUUUUCUUGUCAGUGCUAGUAUAGUGGGAUCUUCAUCAUCUUCAUCCUCAUCCUCCAGGAUAAAAGUUCUUUUCCUCUUUUUCGAUGAAGCACCAAUGGCCUUCUUUCCUUUCUUUUUUAAAGCAGACUGGACUGGAGAUUUCACUUUGAAUUUCUCCAUUGCCUUAGAGAGUUCUUGCAGACGCAUCUUCAUUAACAUUUUCAACCCUACCACCAUCUUAUCACACGUUCGAACACAAAAAGUAUGUGGCAGUUCAAUAUUCAGAUGUCUGAAGAUCUUGGUCACCAGACCAGGAUAAGGCAAUUGUCCUUUGUCUUUUGACACUGCUCUGUACAUAUGGAAAAGAAUAGUGUGCGGGAGAGAAAACUUCCGUCCUAAGUUGAUCGCAUACAUCAAUUUUGCUUCAGAAAGAGACACAGAAGUCUUUGACGUAGACUUCGGUCUGAGACAAUUGAUCACAAUCUUGUGAAGCACAAUGUUGAUGGCAUUCAUCCUGGAAUAGAUAAUUUUCUUAUCUACAUCCCUAUCUUUGACAAGAUCCAGAGUAGUUCGAGCAGGUGAGACUUUGAUUGGGAGAUAGCGUCCCCGUUCAACUCUAACUAUGUCCGCCAACAUAUUCACAUCUACCACAUAGACUUGGUCUCGAACACUGAAUGAAAUUCUAUUCGCAUCCAAAAAGCUAAGAUUUGAAUAGAAAUAAGCGGUCAGUUGAUCAUACCCGUCUGUAGAGUCAGAGCAGAAAGUCUCAAGUUGAAGCAAAUUCAACUUCUCUCUUAAGUUCAAGUUGAUGGAAUCCAGGAAGUCAAAAUCGACACUUCUAGGGUGGAUUACCCCUCUUUUCAACAAACUGAAAUACACUUUUUCCUGAUCCUUGGAUUUAAACAAAUCCAUCCGAUUUCCUUUCACCUUUGCUGCCACACCCAUUCUAGGUUUAAAUUCAAGGAACAUUUUGUCAUCAUCGUUCCCGUUGAAAUAGCUAGUACGAGUACCUAGAGGGGGGUGAAUAGGUAUACAAAAAUUUCUCGAAGCUUGCACGAUAUCAGAUAGAGUAUUUGCAAUAGUUAAAAAUUCAAUCGCAAGACUGAGUAAGGGAAAGAGAGAAUUGAACACUCGGAUUAUAGUGGUUCGGCUUGAUUCAAGCCUACGUCCACUCUUCUGCACUGACAGCCGAUUGGCUGGAUUCCACUAUGAUCAAAGAGUUGUUACAGUGUUGAUCUUCCUUGAUUUCUAGGUGUAGAUGAUCUAUCACACUCACUCAAGGCGUCACCAAGUAUAAACACUCUCUGUAUACAAUUUCGCUCAGUCUCAACUAACAAUCAAGGAUCUUCAGACUCUGGAAUUUUUCUAUCGAUCACACACUUAAAACAACUAGAAUGUCUUCCUUUUAUACUCCUUCAUGCCAUCANNNNNNNNNNNNNNNNNNNNNNNNNNNNNNNNNNNNNNNNNNNNNNNNNNNNNNNNNNNNNNNNNNNNNNNNNNNNNNNNNNNNNNNNNNNNNNNNNNNNUUACCAAAGAAAUUCCUCCAAUCUACCCGUUGGACGGAAUCAAUCAAGAAGAUCAUCCGAGCUAUUUAAGGAAUCUGAUGAUAGCCCAUCAAUCCUGUUCGCCCAUACAAUCAGGAUCUCGGUUUCCAAGAAUAGAAUAAUCCAAAAUUAUUUCGUCGACCAUCGGAUCUUCAAUCGAUCUUAGAUAAGAAUUAAAGAAUCCGAAAUGAUUAUCCAACCAAAGAAUCUAUUCCAGAGGGUAGGAUCGAAUCCUCAACCAUAAACCUCGGCUUUGGAUUUCCUUCAACACUGGAUUAGAAAGACUGUCAGUGAGAAUAAACUUAAGUCUUGAGUCUUAAGUCUUGAGUCUUGAGACUUAAGUCUUGAGUCUUGAGUCUUGAGUCUUGAGACUUAAGUCUUGAGUCUUGAGAGAACAAAGUCUUCAGACUUUAAACUGACGGUCUCCGAACAUGCAGACUUUAGACUGAAAGAAACGUUUUGUCAACUUCAAAAUAUUCUGGAAAGAUUUCUCCAACACCCGUCAAUCAGAUUUUGUCCUGGCAUACGAGGAUCACUUGGAAUGUUUGCAAGAGCCUCCUCUACUCUUCCUUUCGGAGCAAUUCCCAACUCUUCCAUUUUCCGCAGAAAAAGAUACUCAUUUCCAUAAUUUUUGUCCUUUAGAAAGUCAUCUAUAUAUUUUAAUGAAGAACCGGUGCUUUUCAACGCACGAUAAAGCUUAUAGAUAACAGAAGGUUUUUGGACUCUUACUGGGUCGGCAUCCUCGAUUAUCUCUUCUUCCAGAUUUGCACUUUGUGGGGCAGGAGAUGCUGAAUGACGUGGAGGAGAGCGAAUCGGACUUUGUCGCUGACUUGGUAAGUCUUUUUCCUCAGUGAGAUCGAAGUGAGUUGGUCCCUUCUCCAUUCUUUGUGGUCCCCUGUUUGCGAUUCUUGAUGAUUUCCUCGAAGACGACAUCUUUCUUUGUCUAUUGGAGGAUUCAUUCACUUGCUUUUCCCAAGAAAAAUGACCACUUUCUCGACAAUGAACAAAGAGAAGAAACAGUAUCGGGAGGAGAGUGCCUUUUAGGGUUUUGAAAAUUGGAAGUAGAAUAACUGUAUAUAUAUAUAUACCUCGGAUUUGAAAAGAGAAGUCUAAUCGGUACAAGGAAAGUGUACGAACACUUCUUUUCAAAAUCAAUAACUGCCAAAAUUAACUUUCUAAAAAAAAAAAAAAAGGUUUUCAAAUUUCACACGAAUUAUAUCUGAAUAAUAGAACGUACCUUUUAGAUAAAAUAGCAACUUACAGUCUUUAGCCAUGAAUGAUUGAGUCUCAGGAUUUAGAGUCAGAGUCUUAGAGUUGGUGAGUCUCUAGACUUUAACUUCUUCAAGCUUCAAAAUGUUGAGUCUCGAGCGGAUAAAGUCGAACUGAUUCUUCUCCAAAGGCUUUGUGAAUAUGUCCGCUAGUUGACUUUUUGAAUCAACAAAUUGAAUCGAGAUUUCUCCAUUUUGAAUAUGAUCUCUAAUAAAGUGAUGUCGAAUCUCAAUAUGCUUUGCUCUUGAAUGAAGGAUUGGAUUUUUGGUGAGAUUUAUCGCACUGGUGUUGUCACAUCUGAUUUCUGUGCAUGAGUCUUCAAUGCCAAAGUCUUGUAGCUGUUGUUUUAUCCAUAGAAUUUGCGAACAGCAGCUUCCAAGAGCUACAUACUCUGCUUCUGUUGUUGAGAGAGCUACAGUGCUUUGCUUCCUUGAAAACCAAGACACUGUCCUGUUUCCAAGCAGUUGACAAGUUCCAGAAGUGCUCUUUCUAUCGACUCUGCAACCGGCCAGAUCUGCAUCUGAGUAUCCUAGAAGAUUAAAGUCUCCCCUCUUUGGAUACCAAAGACCGAUGCUUGAAGAUGAAGCAACGUAUUUGAUAAUACGUUUCACGGCAAUGAGAUGUGAUUCUCUAGGAUCUGAUUGAAACCUAGCACAGAUACAAACACUAAACAAAAUAUCAGGUCUAGAAGCAGUAAGAUAAAGAAGUGAACCGAUCAUGCUCCUGUACAGCUUUUGAUCUACUUUCUUCCCUUCUUCAUCCUUGUCUAUCUUCUGAGAACAUGACAUUGGUUUGUCGGUCUUUUUGCACUUUUCCAAUCCAAACCUUUUGACAAGAUCAUUCGCAUAUUUUUCUUGAUGGAUGAAAGUUCCUUCCUUCAUUUGUUUUACUUGGAGUCUAAGAAAGAAUGUUAACUCUCCCAUCAUACUCAUUUCAAAUUCAUCCUGCAUAGACUUAGAAAAUUUCUUGCAAGGACUUUCAUUAGAGGAUCCAAAAAUAAUGUCAUCAACAUAUAUUUGAACAAGUAAAAAGUUUUUGUUUUCCUUUUUGAUAAACAAAGUAGUAUCUACUUUACCUUUGACAAAACCAUUCUGUAAUAAAAACUUACUUAGUCUGUCGUACCAAGCUCGAGGUGCUUGCUUUAGACCAUACAGAGCCUUUUUCAGUCUGAAGACUGAGUCUGGCUUCUUUGGGUCUUCAAAUCCAGGCGGUUGUUCCACAUAAACUUCCUCAUGGAUAAAUCCAUUUAGGAAAGCACUUUUGACGUCCAUUUGGAAUAACCUGAAAUUUUUGUAACAAGCAAACGCAAGUAAUAGACGAAUAGCUUCUAACCUUACAACUGGUGCGUAAGUCUCGUCAUAGUCUAUUCCUUCUUCUUGCGUAUAUCCUUUGGCCACGAGUCUUGCUUUGUUUCGUACGACUUUUCCUUUUUCGUUCAUCUUGUUCCUGAAUACCCAUUUGGUUCCAAUAACGGUUUUACCUUUUGGUUUAGAUGUCAAUUCCCAGACAUCAUUGAUGUUGAACUGUCUGAGUUCUUCUUGCAUAGCUUCGAUCCAGCUUUCAUCAGAUAAAGCUUCUUCUAUGCUUUUUGGUUCAAUUUCAGAGAUGAGAGCCACAGCGCUAGAUUCUUCAUGCCUUUUUGAUCUGGUGCGGAUUCCUUCAUUAAGUUCGCCAAUAAUAAGAUCUUUGGGAUGACUGGAUUUGUGCUUCCAGUUACCAGGUUGAUGAUCUCUUUCUUUAUUUGAUUCUCCAUGAGCGUCUUGAUGAUAGACUUCCAGAAUCUGAGAUGCUUCUUGAGAUGUAGACAUUUGAAGAUCUAGAGCGGAUUCAGUCUCUUCGUACUGAGUCUGGCUGGAUUCAUCUUGCACUGAGUCUUGGAAUUUGAAUUUGACAUUCAUUGAUUCUUCCACAAACUGGCUUUUUUUGUUGUAGACUCUGUAGGCUUUGCUUGAUGUAGAAUAUCCAAGGAAGAUGCCUUCAUCUGAUCUUUCUUCAAACUUACCAACUCGAUCAUUUGCAUUUUUCAAAAUAAAGCAUUUGCAACCGAACACAUGAAAGUAUGAAACAAUAGGCUUCUUACCUUUGAACAAUUCAUAGGGGGUUUUAUCAAGAAUAGGUCUUAGAAAGACUCUAUUUAUAAUAUAGCAAGCAGUUGAAACAGCUUCAGCCCAAAAUCGUGAAGAAAUUUUACUUUCAAUUAAAAGUGUUCUAGCCAUUUCUUGAAGAGAUCUAUUCUUUCUUUGCACAACUCCAUUUUGCUCUGGAGUAUACGGAGAGGAAAACAUGUGAUUAACACCAGAUUUAUCACAGAACCUCGUAAAAUCUUUAUUUUCAAAUUCACUUCCAUGAUCUGUUCUUAUACUAGAAAUAGCACAUCCUUUUUCAUUUUGAACCUUUUUAGCAAACUUUUCAAAGUACGAAAAGGUUUCUGAUUUAUUUGCAAGAAAAUAUACCCAGGUAAAACGAGAGUAAUCAUCUAUAAUUACUAGACAAUAUUUCUUACCUCCAAUGCUCUGGGUUCUUGUUGGUCCGAAGAGAUCCAUAUGAAGCAACUGCAGUACAUGAUUAGUAGAUACAUUAUUUAUUUGCUUAAAUGAAUUUCUUACCUGCUUUCCCAGAAUGCAUGGAGUGCAUAAGUUAGACUUUUGGUAUGGCAAUUUAGGUAGACCUUGAACAAGCUGCUUUGAAGAGAUUUUGGCUAAUUGCUUCUUGUUGAUAUGGCCAAGUUUUCUGUGCCAUAGAAUUGCUUCAUCUUGAAUUGAGAUUAAGCAUUGUUCUUCAUUUGGCUUUACAUCAAGGAGGUAGAUGUUUCCAUGCCUUCGAACCAUGAAAGACUGAGUUGAAUCUUUGCUAAUUCCAGAACAUAUGCCUUCUUGAAAGAACAUCUUGUAACCAGUAUCACACAAUUGGCUAAUGCUGAGUAGAUUGUAGUUGAGUCCUUCCACUAGAGAGACAUUGCUUAUUGUGAGAUUUCCAAUUUUCACAGUUCCGAAUCCCACAAUACUUCCUUUGCUAUUUCCUCCGAAUGAAACUUUUCCACCAUUUACUUUAAUAAGCUUUAUGAAACAAUUUGAGUCUCCUGUCAUGUGUCUUGAGCAUCCGCUGUCAAGAUACCACUUUACCUUCUUUUUGACAGAGACCUGCAUUCAAAAGAGAGUCUCAAGCUUUCUUUGGUACCCAAAUUUUCUUGGGUCCUUUGGUGUUAGUAGGAUGAGCAUUAUUAGGCCAUACUCUCUUAACAGGCUUCCAAACCAUAGGACACUCUUUUUCAAAAUGAUCCUGACUGUUACACUUAGAACACCUUAAAGCAUUUCGACCUACAGGCUUUACAAAAACUCUUUUGAAAUGAUUUUUAUAAGCCUCUCUCGAUGGUCUUUUCUUAAUUCUUUCUUUUACUUUCGGAAAAUCAAUCAAAGGGAUUGUUUCAGCUGUCAUACCUAGACCCGACUUAUUGAAGUAAGGUCUUUGGAUUGAAAGGACUUUUUCAAGUUUUUCGGACCCUAUUGAAAAUUUCUUUGAAAUAUUUGAUAAAUCAGUUUUUAAGAAAGCAUUUUCUUUUGAAAGAUUGUCUUCACUCUCUUUAAGAGUAGAAACAUUCAAGUCUAAAUUUUUUACCUUUUCUUCUAAAAUGUUUUCCUUUUGUUUUAAAACUGAGUUUUCCUUUUUAAGUUCGGAAAUCUUUUUAAGAGAAGUCUUAAGACUAAAACAUAACUCAUCAAUAUAUUUAGAGACUUUGACAGGGAUUUUAUAAUCACUUACCUCAAAUUCACUGUCUGAAUCUGAUCCAGAGUCUGAGUCUGAUUGCGCCAUUAGACACAGGUUGGCAUAUUCCUCAUCACUCUCUUCACACUCUGUAUCGCUCCAGGUUUCGGCUUUAAGAGCUUUUCGAAAUUUCUCAGCUUUUCCUCUUUUCUUUUUCAGAAGAGGACAGUUGGGUCUGAUGUGUCCCUUCUUUUUACAUUCGAAGCAAACUACAUCUUUGUUUGGUUCCUCAUCAUCAACAGACUUGGUCUGCUGUCUCUGAAAACUUUGUUUCUUUGGGAUGAACCUUCUGCCUUUUCUAUUCAGUUUUCUGAAUCUUCUUAUCAUGAGGGCGAGCUCCUCAUCAUCCAUAUCAUCUUCAGAAUCUGCAUCAUCAGAAUCAUCAUUUGAUUUUAGUGCAAUAGAUUUCUUACCUCUUGGAUCUUCGUCUUCAUUAAUUCGUUCCACUUCGUAAGACUGAAGAGUUCCAAUCAGUUCGUCUACAGAUAAUGGCAUGAUUCUUUGCGUCUCUCUUAUUGAAGUCUUUAUAUGAUUCCAAUCCUUGGAGAGUCCACGUAGAAGCUUGUUCACCUUCAUGGGAUCAGAAAUUUUUUGUCCUUGGUUCUCAAGACCAUUGACAAUAUCUGUAAAACGACUAAACAUGUCAGUUAUAGAUUCUCCUGGUUUCAUUUUGAAGGAUUCAUAUUGACCAAGAAGAAUGUUAAUUCUGGUCUCCUUCACUCGAUCUGUCCCUUCAUAAGUGAUAUGUAACCUGUCCCAGACUUCUUUUGCUGUAACACAAGAAGAUAUUCUGUUAUAUUCAGUUGGUGACAAAGCACAAUAUAAAGAAUAAAUUGCUUUAGCAUCGAGUGCUUGUCUCUUGUUUAUUUCUUCUUGAGACAUUCCGCUGGCUUCAACAGUUUCUUUCCCUCUUUCAGAGAUUGAUGCAGCAGCAGGAGUGAUUCCUCUUUCCACAACGUCCCAUUCCAGAGGAUCCUUUGAUCGUAGGAAGGCUUUCAUCUUGUUCUUCCAGAUGUUGUAAUCCUUUCCAUCGAAGUAGGGAGGUCUGGUAUUGCUUUGCCCCUCCAUCAGCCCCGGUGCUAGCAUACUAGCCAUGGAUCUUUUACUCUGAAGUAAAAUACUUCAAACAAAGUAAGAACACGAGCUCUGAUACCAAUUGAAAUAGCUAGUACUAGUACCUAGAGGGGGGGUGAAUAGGUAUACAAAAAUUUCUCGAAGCUUGCACGAUACUAAUUAGAGGAUUUGCAACAGUUAAAAAUUCAAUCACAAGACUGAGUAAGGGAAAGAGAGAAUUGAACACUCGGAUUAUAGUGGUUCGGCUUGAUUCAAGCCUACGUCCACUCUUCUGCACUGACAGCCGAUUGGCUGGAUUCCACUAUGAUCAAAGAGUUGUUACAGUGUUGAUCUUCCUUGAUUUCUAGGUGUAGAUGAUCUACCACACUCACUCAAGGCGUCACCAAGUAUAAACACUCUCUGUAUACAAUUUCGCUCAGUCUCAACUAACAAUCAAGGAUCUUCAGACUCUGGAAUUUUUCUAUCGAUCACUCACUUAAAACAACUAGAACGUCUUCCUUUUAUACUCCUUCAUGCCAUCAUAGCCGUUGGCACUUACCAAAGGAAUUCCUCCAAUCUACCCGUUGGACGGAAUUAAUCAAGAAGAUCAUCCGAGCUAUUUAAGGAAUCUGAUGAUAGCCCAUCAAUCCUGUUCGUCCAUACAAUCAGGAUCUCGGUUUCCAAGAAUAGAAUAAUCCAAGAUUAUUUUGUCGACCAUCGGAUCUUCAAUCGAUCUUAGAUAAGAAUUAAAGAAUCCGAAAUGAUUAUCCAACCAAAGAAUCUAUUCCAGAGGAUAGGAUCGAAUCCUCAACCAUAAACCUCGGCUUUGGAUUUCCUUCAACACUGGAUUAGAAAGACUGUCAGUGAGAAUAGACUUAAGUCUUGAGUCCUAAGUCUUAAGUUUUGAGUCUUGAGUCUUAAGUCUUGAGUCUUGAGUCUUGAGAGAACAAAGUCUUCAGACUUUAAACUGACGGUCUCCGAACAUCCAGACUUUAGACUGAAAGAAACGUUUUGUCAGCUUCAAAAUAUUCUGGAAAGAUUUCUCCAACACCAUUGACUCUUGAAGAAGUAGCUGAACAUUGCCAUGCUCCUAAAGAGGUAAUCUGCCCAAUCCCUAGGCACAAUUUAGCAAUCCACAACUUUUGAAUUUAGCUAAUCCUUUUCUAUGGCCUUGUGGAUGCAUAUUUAAAUGAUCUACAAGAUCAUCGCUCACAUGGCUGCCUACGACAGAGCAAUCAUUGCUGAGGGUAGUUGUGGAUCGCCUAGAAGCAUCAAAGUUUUCCUCGGGGAGUAUAAUGUUGAUGAGUUAUAUGCUUGAUUUUCGCAGAAGUUGGGUGUCUCGCUGCGCACCUCUUCGUAAAUUUUCAAUAAGCUGAUUUUGAUUGUGAUACUGAAUCUUCAUCAGAAUGGGGGAUAAUUUGGGAGAUGGAAUUCUUUUACUGGAAGAUCUUUGCCUUAUUCGGCUGAAGAUCUUUGUCUUUCAAAAAAUUUUGGAAUUCUAGAGUCUGCAUGUCACUUUACAAUAUGCUCCAGGUAAGAUAAUUGUGGAUUCUAUUGACGACCUUAAUAGCUUCAGUAGCAAUUGGCAAUUCACUCUGCUAAAUUAGCAGGCUCUUACCAUGCCGCCAUAUGCAUGGAAAAGCGUGAAGCUGUCAAAGUUAAGAUAUGAGUUUUCACUGUACAUUCUAAGGAUAAAGCAGGUCUGUGCGCAUUAGUUGGACCAAAUAAUUAUUGUAGAGGCUAGAAUGUUUAAGUGUUUGCUAUUACUUGCCGGCAAAGGGCCCACUCCAUUGAAGUUAACUAUGAGGAAAACAAUACCAUAUGUGAGAGAUGAACUUUUUUCUGGACCCAGUGCUGUUGGAAUCAGUGACUUGAUUUGAGGAUUUAUUAUUUUGGUUCUGUGGUAACAUUUAUGGCUAUGCUAUGUGGUAAAAGUUUCCGGCAAGAAUCUCAGUAGUAUGGAUGUUAGCAUCAAAUCCAUAGUCAUUUGAUGUUCUUGAUCCAUUUAAAAAUAGGGAAAAAGAAAGUAUUGGUUGAUGGAAGAUUUUAUAGGAGUGGUAUAAUCUGCGCUCUUUGUGACCUUGAAUGGUUAAGUGUGCUGUCUCUUAUACAAGCACCAUAUCACAAAUUAAUUACUGAAAUUUGAAACGAUUAUUGCAUUAAUCAUGCAAAAGAAAAAAGAACUUAUCCAAGAACAUCAUACGGCUCAAGUGACCCAUGCACUUGGGAGAAAAUAUUGGACACAUCUAAAUUGUCAUCUUUUUAGAUCAUCCUUAUUUGCCACGAGCGUCUCUAUGUUGAAUGAGUUUUAUGUUCAAGUUAUCACUGGAUAAUGUUCAGGUUAUCACUAGAUAAUAUUAGGAUGUAAUCUUGCAUUUCGUGUGCAAUGAUGCAAUAUCAUAACCUAAUGAAAAAACUGGAAAUUGAUACUCUUUUUUAAAAAGUGCUUGUGAAGAUUUCUCCCCCAUUGAGUUCAUAGCAAUGGAUGUUAAGGUGCAGAUUGCAUCCAAAAAUUUACUUGGCCAAUUUGCAAUAGCAAUGGAAAUCCCUCACAAACUCCUCCAAUGUCUCCAACAACUUAUUGGUAAUCCUUUGCACUUCAGGAUAUUCGGACGAUCUUGCCACCCCUGUAUCCUUACACCAAUUGUAGAAUGCAAUAAACUCAUCAAUUUGCUUAGCGGCACUAGCAUAAACAUCGAAAGCCUUGACGCAAUCCUAAUACUCCGUAUCGAAAAAAUUAUCAAGCAAAACAGCCAAAACCUCACGGAUAUCAGCAUAUACCUGAAAACUCUCAUUCACAAUAGUGUACAAUGCAACUAAGAUCAAGCUGUUAUUCUUUGCCAGACAAGUGGGCCUACACACCAAGAACUGGUCCAAUAGCCUUGGCAAGUGGCCCAUUUUGCCAAAAAUCCUUUCUUGCUUCAUUUCCCUCAGUGGAGUUGCUACCCUUCUAUCUUCUUUCCCUUCUUUCACAGCCACACCAUCGCUCAUAUCCCCAUAUGACCUUGACCUUCUCAUCCCCCAAAAUUACCAUAUUCUCCUCUAUAAUCACCAUAAUCAUAAUCAUUCCCGUGGUGGGGUCCAAAAAUCAUCUUGAUUCCCAUACCUAUCCUCAUUGUGAACACUAUCACCACCAUUAGCACUUCCACUAGGACCGCCGCUGCCGCUCUUUAUAUCAAACAGAAUCAACUCGAGUUGCUGACCAAAAUACAUAGCAUAAGUCCGCGCAAAAGCCAAGUGGUCCCAUGAACUCGAGUGAGCCUCAUCUCUAAAAUCAGACAAAUUCAACAACCUAGCACCAUGCCCGGUCGCAUACGUUAUCUCCUCGCGAAAAAUUGGGUCUCCAUCAUUCAACAAAUGAUGGAUGACCACUAGGGAUUUGAGAGCCACAACGUAGUUGUGGGUAUUGCUCAGUCGCUUCGAAAGCGCAGAAACACAUGGAUGAACGUAUCCGCGCGAGUGUGAAGUCAAAUUCAAGAUCCAACGAAUGUGUUUCUCGUCCAUAGGAUCAUCAUCGUCGCUCGUGGCUUUCACGAUAUUUACUUUGGCCUCUUGCGCCAUGUUGCCCGCGACCUUCGCGAGGCCAAUGCUUGUCUGGUCCUUGACAGCCCCCAGCAAUUUGCGGAUCAUGCUUUGAGACAUGUUCACCGUCACCCUUACCUACCAAAACCGCACAAGUCAUCUGAACUUGUCCCGCUUGACUCAAAAGCAUCACUUGAGGAUGAUCUAACCAGCUUUCCAGUAAUUUCAAAAAAUCAACAGCACCAAUAAGUUAGUGCUCGAAGUCACCAUACUUUUACUGCGAUUAAUCACGCGAUCAACGAAGCAUUCAGCUCGACCGAUGGCUUCACUUUACCUAAACCCCAUAAAUAGGUUCUGAUUGUUUCACAACUACAGCUCACCAUGCUCCACUAUGCUUAAUAAAGCGAUCAAUGUAGUAUCGAACUCCGGGAAAUUAACUUUAGAGAAAGUGUAUCAAAUCUGGAGAAAUUAAGCUCUGGCGAUGCGGACUUUGAACGCAGAAUGGACCCGUCAAUUACAAUCGCCGAUCGCCACUCUUCAUCUUCUGCGUCUGAGAAUGGCGAGAGAUGAGGCGCAACAACCGGCGAUUGUAAUCAGCCGCACGGCCCACAUCAUGAAGUUCCCCUCCUCCCCUGUCUGCGCUCCCAAUCGUCGCCUCCACUUCGAGGCGGCUGCGUCUCGCCAUUGCGUUGACGGUGCAGGUCCCUCCCGCCGCUCUCGCGUCGCUCUUCGUGGGGAUCUCUCUGGCUCCAUUGCUCGUCGGACCGGUCACGUUCGUGAUCGGGCUCGUUUUGAUGCCCUUGAGUCAUCCUUCUGGAUUUAUUCUUUUACGCGGUGGGGAUGGUGUCCGCUCCGUCGGAGUUGGCUCAGGCGACCCGUAAUCCAUUGGAUUCUAGUAAUAGGUUUUUCUUAAUCUGAGAAGUCAAAAGUAUCUUUUCGAUUCGAGUAAUUUGUUGCCUUGAUGUCUUGGCCAAUUCCAAUGAACCCGUUAGACAUGAUGAACAAAUAGGUUUCUUUGCCGAAACUUAAGCUUUACUUUAGCGCAAUUAUCAUCUUAUAGAGAGUGAACAUCUAUUGAGGCGUUGGGAGAACUAACAUGGAUGAUGAACAUUAUGAGUUAGUUACAAAUGUCAAAGCAAAGUAGAGAAUUAUUAAAAUAUGUCUUGAUUUUGAGCCGCUAUGCAAUAUAACCUGAUUGGAUAAGAAAGAAAUCCAAAAAAUCUUUCUUUGAAUGAUGUAUGUAUUGGAGAGUUUUUUUUAUUUGGUUGGACGUGUCCACGAUUACAUCCAGACUUUGCAAUGUAAAAGAUUUGAGAGGAUAUUGCUUGGACACUUGGGUAAGAAAAAGAUUUAAGUUCAAUUUAGUAGGUUCGGACGUGUAGACUCCGGUGCAUUAAACAUUGAUGGAGAAAUUUUCCUGUGGACAGCCGCUAAGGGCCCAGUAGCAUAUAAAUGGUCUCUCGCGGUCAAAUUUCCUAUGGACUUUAAUUGCCUACUCGGAAUUUUCUUUUUGGUCAUACAAAAGAGAGUGCGUGGGGUUAGGAAGCGGUUAGAGAAAAGAAAAUAAAUUAAAAGCAAGGUUUUGCUUUUUUGGGUUUCCUUUCCUCGAGAAUCCUAAUAGUGUAAUUCCAUUAGAAAUUGGGCCACCGCACGAAGAGUAAAAGAAAAAAACAUAUGAACGUUCUUGAAUUAGCUGUGCGAAGGGUUUUGCUAUGGGCUUAAACACUCGGUGAUUUGCCCUAUGAGUUUUACAAGCAAUUAAGGUGUUUAUUUAUAAACAUAUUUGGAUUUGGUCUUAAUCUAGGUGUGGGAGACACUCAAAUGUAAGCGAUUGUAGUUCUGAUUCUCAAAUUAUAGUGAAUUAUUGGUUGCUAGCUCUUUUUAGGAAUAAAUACCGAUGCUUGGAUCAAAUCUCAUAAAUAUUUGGUAUCUUUGUCAUUUCCCAUUUAUUUCUUCAAUGUUCUUGCGUUGAUUUAAUAGCAAGAUCUUCUCAAUUUUCACGUUAAUUUUUGCAACAUGUCCACUUUUGAAAUGCCUCUAGUCAAGAUCACUUUCUCCUAAAAGCUCUAGUGCGAAGUAGAUUAACAAAUCUUCCAUGUUUAGAACCAUCCAAUUCCUAACGUUGUCUAGUGCAAUUUUUCGCUUAUACGUACGGACUCAAUGGGAUAUUCACCGUCACCUUUGCAAGGAAGCAAUUUGAAUAAUGUUAAAUGGGCACUCAUAAGUUAAACUAGCUGCUUUUUGUGGAUCCGAAAGGCAUUCUGUUAUGCUUUUUCUNNNNNNNNNNNNNNNNNNNNNNNNNNNNNNNNNNNNNNNNNNNNNNNNNNNNNNNNNNNNNNNNNNNNNNNNNNNNNNNNNNNNNNNNNNNNNNNNNNNNUAUGGGCUUCACAUAAUGAAUAUAGAAGUCAUAUAUUGCAACCCCCUUCUCUUUCCAUAUAGAAAUGUUGUUGAUUCAAAGAUUCCUAUCCCAAGGCAUCUGCAUGGGUGCUUUCAUUAUUUACUUUGGAUAAUUCUUUUCUACCCAUUUGUGGUACAAUUCCGACUCUUAGGUGCCUAUUCUCCAAACAACAUUUGAAUGGGACUUUACAUGUGAAUGAUGGUUUCUCCAACUUAUUCUCUAUUCAUAAUUCCGUACAAAAUGACCAUCCUUGACUUGAGUUAGCAAUAUUUGUGGACAAAUUAGGUAAUCUUAGUAAUUUAAAGGAGCUAGACAUAAGUUAUAAUGCAAUCCAUGUAGUGGGUAUUGUUGAAGGUACUGUUUUAGUUUUUAUACAAAAACCUCAUUUUUAUUCAUAAAUAAAACUGACUAGACUAUGAUUCGUGCAUGCUCUUUCAUAUCUUUACAUGUGCUUCAAAUUAAGAAUAUAGAAGUCAUAUAUUACAAUCCCCUUCUCUUUUCGUAUACAAAUGUUGUUGAUUGAAAAGAUAUCUAACCUGAAGCAUCAGUGUGGGUGCUUUCACAACUUAAUUGCCAAGCAAGUUAAUUACUUGGAAUUUUAUUGCUAGGCAUCAAAAACUUGAGCCACUUAGAGAACCUCCACCUAGAUUAUGUCCACUUGAAGCAUGUGGGGACCGUUGUGCGGGCAUUAGGGCACUGUCAUCUCUGAGAUCCUUUCUCUCUAAUACAAAUAGAAAGGGAACAAAUUACUUCCUCCAAGGGUUAGUCAAAACCCUGUGAGUGAAAUGUAUAUUCCACAAUAACACCCUCAUUUCAUUACACGAAAAAACUACUUUUCAAGAAAAAUGUUUUUCAAAAUUUUCCAACAUUCGAGUUAUGGAAAAUAUAUAAGUAAAGGAAAAUAUUUUCCUUCAAUGGAAAAAGCAUUUUCAAAAGUGAGGAUAAUGAGGAAAUCAUUUUCCAUUCUCUUUCUUUCACCUAGACCUGUUUUCCCCUGUGCACUCUUUUUAGUUAUUUUAUUGUUUUUCUAUUUUCUUUUUCUAAAAAAAUUGAAUUUUUAAUUUUUAAUUUCUUUCUUUCUUUCUUUCUUUCUUUUUUCCUUCUUCCUCAAUUGAUUGUUGGUUACGAUGAUGGCCUGCAACCAACCACUGGUGAGGGAAAAGCCCCGCGAACGCCAAGGACUCGCCGAUCUAAUGAGGUUCGAGCUCAUCGGCCUCGAGCAAUCUUGACCUCACCUGUGAUUGAUGAUCGGACGAACAAGAAGGAAAAAUAAAAAGAAAAAGAAAAAAUAAUUAAAGAAUCUAUGUUUUAAAAUAAAAAUACAAAAUUAUUGAAAGGAGUGCACGGAUGAAAAUUAAAUUAGAUUUUUCAUACUAAAUGGUGGAAAAUAUUUUCUAGUUCAUUUUCAGGUUUCAGCCGAGCACUAGAAAAUAUUGUCAUUUUCCUAUAAAUGACUUCUCGAAAAACAUUUUACAGAAAAGUCAUAUUUUUCGCGAAACAAAUGGAGCCUAAAUUUUUUAUUAAAGAAGUUCCAUUCACUCAUGAUAUCUCUGUACCAUUUCUUGAUUAUGACUGUGUAAGGAUCUGAUGUUCAAUAAUCUUUCGAUUUCUGGGAAGAUUUCCAUAACUUCAGUAAGUUGGAACAACUCAUCUUGGAUGGUUCUUCGUUGAACACAAGCAUAGGAAUCCUUUCCAACCUUGGUCCGUUGACAUCCCUUAGAUUGUUGUCCUCAUCCAACACCAAUCUAAGUGGCAACCUAUCAGAUCAUGGUAAGUUCUGAUCUCUCAAUGUAAGAGUUGGACAUGAAAUGGAUCCUUGAUGUACUUGAAUGUCCUCAUUGCAUGUACUGAUAUAUCUCAUUGUAGUUGAAUUGACUUGUGAUAUCAAUAACAGGCUUGUGUAACCUGGUAAAACUAGAAGAGUUGGAUCUUAGCUUUAACGGAAUUACUGGCGGGCUUCCUACAUGUUGGCGAAACAUGUCCUCUAUUCGGACUCUGAAUCUUGAAGACAAUGAACUUACAAAUAGUGUCGUGUCAUCUCCCCUCACUAGUCUUACAUCUCUCGAAUUUCUUUCCAUUUCGAGUAACCAUUUUGAUAUCCCCUCAUCACUCGGCCCACUUGCAAACCAUUCAAGACUUAAGGUGCUAAUUCUUGAUGACACCAAACUAACAAUUGAUACCAAAGUUGCAUCUUUGAUCCCGAGUUUCCAAUUGAAGGUUUUAAGUAUGUCAAAUAGUCCAUCAAGAGGAUUCGAAUUGACUUCUCUGGGCUUUCUCAAUCAUCAAUAUGACCUAAGAAUUUUGGAUCUCUCAUUGAAUGACAUUCCGGGUCGCUUUCCAGCUUGGUUGUUGGAAAACAACACCAAGUUGAAAAUGCUUUUUAUGGCAAAUAAUUUAUUUACGACACUUGAGGUUCCAUCAAUGACCCUUUUUUAUCUUUGGAGCAUGGACAUAUCCAACAACAGCAUGAGAGGAGAGCUCACUACCGAAUUUUGCGCAAAUGUCCCAAAUCUGUCCCACCUUAUUCUAUCGGCCAAUAGAUUGGAAGGGAAUAUUCCAUCUGAACUGGGUAGUAUAAAAUUCCUACAUAUCUUAGACCUGUCUAGCAAUAAUUUCUCAGGGGGACUACCUAUCCAGUUACUAGAUAGUAAAUUGGGUCACCUCAACGUAGCAUAUAACAAAUUGCAAGGAGAAAUUGUACUUUCCGCCCACAUCAUCAUGAAUGCACAUUUGUCACAUUUGUGGUUAGACCACAACUUGUUCACUGGAAGUCUCUCUUUUCUUUCAUCACUCGUAGAUUUGUGGGUAUUGGACGUUAGCUACAACAAUUUCACCAGCGAGCUUCCUAAAUUGAUUGCAAACAUGUCAUCGCUUAUGGCCCUUGACUUGUCCAAAAAUCAGUUGGAUGGCCUCAUCCCUCAAGAAGUCUGCAAUCUUGGUUGGCUUCAGUAUUUGGAUUUGUCUGACAACAAUCUCUCUGGUCCAUUACCAUCAUUUUUUGUCUCAGAGUGGAUGCGCCACAUCCAUUUGAGUAGGAACAAAUUGAAUGGUACACUCGUGCAUGCGCUCUCUAGUAGCUCCCAUUUGGUGACCAUGGAUUUAAGUGAAAAUGAGUUUAUCGGAAGCAUACCCUAUUGGCUAGGUAACCUCUCUCAAUUGAGCAUUCUUUCACUAAAAGGUAAUAGCUUCUAUGGAACAUUUCCCGAGCAAUUGUGCAAGUUGAAAAGCUUAAGUAUGAUAGAUCUUUCUGAAAACAAUCUGUUUGGUCCAUUACCUAGUUGCUUGGGACCCAUGAAUUUUUCCAAAGAUUACACCUAUAAGGUAACUUCAGUAUGGGACAGAGGAAUUGAAAUGCUAGGAUGGCUUCCUUGGUCUUAUGUGAGGACAAUUAAAAGUCUACCUGAGUCCUUCCACGAAAAAAUGAUAGAAGAAUUUCAAGCUCCACAUAUUGUUGGGUUCACAACAAAAAGAAGGUUUGAUUCUUAUAAAGGCUACUCACUACUUAAAAUGGUGGGACUACUUCUUUCUUGCAACCAAUUCAGCGGCGAGAUCCCACCGGAGAUAGCAAUUUUACAAGAAAUGCUUGUGCUAAACCUGUCACAUAACAAGCUUACAGGACGUAUACCAAUGUCAUUGUCAAGCCUCACGAAGAUAGAGAGCAUUGACCUUUCCUACAACAACUUGAUUGGUUCUAUCUCUGAAGAGCUUACUCAGUUGAAUUCCCUGGAAGUCUUCAAUGUGUCUUACAAUGACUUGUUAGGAACCAUACCAAACAAAUAUCAAUUUGGGGCGUUCGAUGAAAGCAGUUACUAUGGAAACCAUCUUCUGUGUGGACUGCCGUUGAGUAAGAAGUGUUCGACAAUCAUUAACGUUAAUUGCUCAGCAACAAAAUCAUGCCCAACAGCUAAAGAAGAUGGUUUCAUAGAUGAACAGACAUUCUAUAUCAGCUUUGGAGUGUCAUACACGACGAUUGGACUGGUAAUUCCGGUUGUUCUGUUCAUCAACCCCCAAUGGCGACAGGGAUGGUUUCACUAUGUGGAACUAGUUAUCACUACAUGUCAGAGCUUGUUCAUCACAUGCUACUAUUCUGUGCAGGACGGCUUUCAAAAAUUGUCUAGAGGCCAAACAUUUUAGGUUCUCGCACUCUGCAUUUCCUAGUAAUGGUUGGAUUGGGUUUUUUUUUCCUAUUGUUUGUUAUUGUCAUUGAUCAGCUUUAGGCUCAAUGUGGAUCUAUCGAGUCAAUACCUUCACAACUGAAUAAGGUCUUGUUCUACUUUCCUUGAAGACAAUACAGGGUGUGAUCCUUCCCUCUUUCGAAAAGGUGUUUUUACGUAAUUGCUUGCUCGUCUCUAUUUGGUUAGGUGAUCAUACUACUAGCAAUGACAAACAACACUAGAAAAACACAGCUGUCUCUUCGCACCUUUUUUGUUUUUGCGGUAACAAAUUUGCUUUCCUUUCCGAAUAAAAAUUUUCAUCUCCAUAUAUCACUUGGUCCAUUCACAAACCGUUUGAGACAUAAAACUCCUCUUGCUUGACAAUAUAGCACAAACAACUGAAUGUUCUUCAAAGUCUUAGGCUCAUGGCCAAUCUGUUUUCGUCUAACUUUUAUGAAGGCUUACUUGUUCUUAAGUGUCUCCUGAGAUGGUUAAAUUUACGGUCAAACUUGCAUUUUUAUGACUACUUUCGUUGUUCCUGUCUUUGUGGAAUGAUGUUCUAACAUUUUGCUAGGAGCUUAGCUCUAGCUUGGAAAAGGAAGUACCGCACUGAGGCAUGCCCUGUCCAGUAUGAAAGAGACCAAAUUUGUUGUCUUGAUGUCUAAGCCAAAUGCGAGCAAGAACCAACCCGGAUCGAGGCCCAGAUUGGUGCAAAUGUAUGAAUUCUAUUGUAAACAUUCCAUUCAUACGAGAAGGUCAGCACUGCUGCCAUUUUUACAAAUUGGUAAAACAAAGUUACAGGUGGUAUGUCAAUCAAAGUAAUAGAAACAACCUCUUACCAAAAAAAAAAAAAAAAGUAUCACAUAAUCAUGAGCCUAUACUCACGAUCAAGAGAAAAAGAGAAGCCGGACUCCUUUUUUUGUAGUAAGAAAUUACUUCAACGCUUUCUGGCGGUUUCUACGAACAUACAAAAAAUGCAGCUUUGACAAGCAGUUUUGAGGACAUUCAUUCUGUUAUAAGAACAUUGGUCAUGACAAUAUAUAUUAAUAAAAAGUGAUGGUUGAGAUCCAAAAGUGGGCAAGACAUGCAAAGUAGAAUGUCCAGGCAAUUAUUCCCAGUUGAUCUAGCAUGCAGCACAAGGUAGGUAUGCUUAGUCAUUCUAAUAUAUAAUUAAUUUGUAUUGAAAAAUAAUAAUGGUGUUACCUUUGUAGGCUUAAUCGUGUGCUAAAUCAUAUUGGUGUCUGCUUUUGGGCCCGGAUUUGGGUCAUCUAUUACAAUGGAUGCAUUCUAUACUUUUGUGAUGGUAUAAUGUGUCAUGAAUCUAAUAAAAAAUCUUUUACAGUCAGACUUAUGCACCGGCUAACUCAGAAAUACGUUGCGUGGUUACUAUAUUAUUUAAUAAUAUCACUGGCAGAAUACACUGAUCAUUCCGAUCCACAAUUUGAAUCACAUAUCCUUCUUAUGGUAAAUUUACCACUCGAAAUUGUAAAUUAAGGUUCAAAAUAUUUUGGUGUGGAGCUAUUCAUCAGAUUUUCUUGUGGAAAGUAUAUCAUGUAUAGUAUUACCUCGUCCCAAAUACAUACCAAGUAAGAAUUGGUCCUUCACCUAUAUAACUAGCAUAAUAGACCAUCUGGAGCACAUAUAACUAAUAAUGAGUAAUAUUCCGACACAAUGAUCAAACAAGCUUACUUUCACAAUAUUACAUUUUAGACAAGGAACAAUUUUAGUUAUGAUUGACAUUCCUUGUUUAAGAGUUGUCCUUGUUUCAGAAACCUUGGUUAGCAUCGUGUAAUAUAUUCCGAUUAUUAAACUCAAUUGCAACAGGGCAUCACAUCAAUUCAGUAGCAAGUUAUGGCAUUCUAAUGGGAAAGGACAAGGUGGCACCACUUUUUUUUAGUAUAUGCAACCAACUAUUGAUCUGAACAGUUGGUAAACUCUUCUACAAAAUGAAUACAUCUCAAUUCCCACAUUAUGCAUGUUACAGAUUAAGAAGCAUUGAAGCUUGGUACUGGAUAAGGCCAAAAAUGCUUAGAUUAUCAUGAGUAACCACAGAGCACCAGUAACGGACCUCACCCAUAGCAAGAACUUCCAAUGCAUCUUCAUACUUUUGCCUCCUCGUAAGUUGUUUUGCAUUUGAGUGAAGCAUUAAGCCCAUCAUCACAGCACUGGAGAAAAUCCAAAAGGUUUUUUAAAUGCCAAUUCAAAACAACAGCAGCUAAACAGCAGAUUGUGAGAAAAGACUGCUUGAGAAAGGAUUUCUUAAAAAACAAAUUAGUCUACUGCCAACCCUCUGAUCAGUUUCAGAUCCCAUAUUUACUUUCUUUCCACUCUGAUCUUCAAGUUCUAUGUUGAAGUCUUCCAGUGGCAAUUACCCAUCUGCAUGUCUCUUAGCCAGUGCAGUGGCAGCUGCUCUGUAUUUAGAAGGAUAUACACAUUUAAUUAUAUGAGGGGAUGUGCACAUACACGCACAGUAGCCAGAAAGACUACUGUCUCUGAAAACAACAAACACGCUGGCCAAUAUCAUCAAAAAAAUAAUACAGGAAAGUGAACCACAAGAGCAGAUAAGCAUGUCCAUGUAAAUGAACAUCUGUAGGUAUGUAUAUCCAAAUUGCUAGGCUCAUCAGUGCUUCUGGCCAAGCAUAGAAAUUUUAUGGCAUAACUAUAAACAAGUCACUUUAUCAAGACAUGCAAUCUUCUUUUGAAUAAUAAUAAAGUUGCGUGCUCAGAGCCGAAUGCCUCUUUAAGUAUCAAGAUGCACUGCCUCAUGAGUUAAGUAACGUACGCCACACUAAGAAUGUUGAUUGGUCCCAUGACCAUAUGCAAAGUUGAUAAAAAGGGGUGAAAACCAAACUGAAUAUGCAUGCGAAAUACCUGAUGAAGGAUUGAUUUGGAGGUGGCCGCUAAGAGUUAAAGUGAGCUUGGAAUGAGGAGAAAGCAUCUUCCCUCGCAUCAAAGCUACUCAAAAACUUCUGCGCCACAGAAACGCCAAAAGCUUCAGACUGAGCAUUAUUAACCAGGGAAGGCAUCUCUUGAACUCGGACACGCUCAUCCCAAGACCACAAAUUGCAUUGCUAUUUGACUUGGACCUGUUCUAGAAAAGCCGAGGCAUUUCAAGUUCCUUAACCCAUAACAAGAAUACGAAGCUCGCUGCAAUCGGUAAAAGAGAAAGGGAGAUGUAAUUGAUACACUGAAUGUAGAGAAUUCUUAGCCUCAUCAAAUAUGAGCCCCCCUUUAUCACUCCAAGCAAGAUUUAUCAAAACCAUCAACCGAUUAACAAAGAGAAUGGAAAGAAUAAUAGAGAUAGAGAGCAGCAGAAGCCUGCUUUCGAAAGGCAAGCUGCCAUUCACCACAUUAUAUUUUACAGGGCCAGUCCAACGAGGUGUAUGAUCCAAUAACAAAUACCCAACUUUUCAGAAAAAUUCAGCAAAACAAACAUAUUCCUCACAAUUUACAUAAUAUAAACCAAGAAACAGAAAACAAAGAGACAAGUUCCUGAUAAAUUCACCAUAUAUUCGAUGCAGCGUAUCCAAUAAGCAAGGAAAGUCAACAACUUUGGUCAACCGAUCAAUUAGUACAAUCCGCAGCCGGGAACCCAAAAAUCAACAGCACCAAUAAGCUUAAUCAUUUUAGUGCUCGAAGUCACCAUGCUUUUACUGCGAUUAAUCACGCGAUCGACGAAGCAUUCAGCUCGACCGAUGGCUUCACUUUACCUAAACCCCAUAAAUAGGUUCUAAUCAUUUCACAACUACAGCUCACCGUGCUCCACUAUGCUUAAUAAAGCGAUCAAGUGUAUCAGAUCUGGAGAAAUUAAGCUCCGGCGACGCGGACUUUGAACGCAGAAUGGACCCGCCGACUGCAAUCGCCGAUCGCCACUCUUCCUCUUCUGCGUCUGAGAAUGGCGAGAGAUGAGGCGGAACAACCGGCGAUUGUAAUCGGCCGGACGGCUUACAUCAUGAAGUUCCCUCCUCCCCUGUCUGCGCUCCCGAUCGUCGCCUCCACUUCGAGGCGGCCGCAUCUCGCCAUCGCGUCGACGGCGCAGGUCCCUCCCGCCGCUCUCGCGUCGCUCUUCGUGGGGAUCUCUCUGGCUCCAUUGCUCGUCGGACAGGUCACGUUCGUGAUGGGGCCCGUUUUGAUGCCCUUGGGUCGCCCUUCUGGUUUCGUUCUUUUACGGGGCGGGAAUGGCGUUGGCUCGGGCGACGCGUAAUCCAUUGGAUUCUAGUAAAUAGGUUUUUCUUAAUCUGAGAAGUCGAUGGUAUCUUUUUGAUUCUAGUAAUUUGUUGUCUUGAUGUCUUGGCCAAAUUCUAGCAAGAACCAACCCGGAUCGAGGCCCGAAUUGGUGCAAAUGUAUGAAAUUGGCUACUAGUCAUUAAUAGGGCUCCCAACCAAGCCUGGUCAGGCCAUGUGGCCGAGGGCUUGGGUCGAAGGGAAUAACCUCCCAUAUCAAAUUUUAAUUAUUUUUAGAGUCUUUUGAUGUCUUACAUGAAUUUUCUUUACUUUGCGAGUGUACUUAGAUUUUUUUUUUUUCUUUUAAGAAUUCUCUUUACGGAUUCUUGCUCUCUUGAGGAGGAAUUGUGAGAAAGCUACAGAUCAUAUAACAUCAACCUUAUUGGUCAUAUCAAAUAUGAAGAAGCAAAUUUAACAUGCAAAAGAGAAUUAUUAUAUCAUAUAGCUAAGGUAUCAUGCUUUUUUUUGUUUUUCUCAUAAGAGGGGGGAAAAAGGGAAAAAAGGUCACAAAAAAAACUUUAAAUUAUGUCAAUUAUGACAUAUUUACCCUAAACUUUUUGUUGUGACAAAAAAUCUCAAAUUUCAUGUAACACAUGUACCCUAAAUUUAUAUCCAUGCGACACAUUUAUAUGUUACCUGAAUACAAAUUUAGGGUUUUUUGUAUCAUAAAAAAAAUAUAAUUUGUGGUAAAUGUGUUGCACAAUGAUGAGUUGGCUUUUUUGUGUCACAAAAAAAUUUGGGGUGAACAUGUCACACGAGUAUAAGUUCGAAGCUUUUUGUGUCACAAAAAAAAGUUGAGUAAAUUGUAUCAAAGCGGACAUAGCCUAAACUUUUUUGUGAUUUUUUUUUUCAAAAAAGAAAAUAGAGAACUUUUGAAAAACCCUCCCCACUUUUGAAAAUACACAAUUUGCCUUUAUAAACUACCUCUCCACCCCAUUUUUUUAUCUUCGUCUCUCUACCUUCCGCCACACCAGUGUCGGCUCUCUCUCCAUGGCCACUAGAGCUCGAAAGUUGCACUCAAGGCCAUGGCCGCAAGCUCAAAGGCAACAUUAAUGCUUAUGGCCUCUGAGCUCGAAAGUCAUGCGAUUUGGCGAGCUCGCCAUGGCCACUAGAUUUGGCGUCAAGUUCAACAACGGAAUUUGGGUAGCAGCGGACAUGAGCUCGAGACAGGAGAGAGGGAGAUAGUUGAGGCGGCAAGGUGGUGGCUUGAUGACGCAACAAGUAUAGACGGUGCCAGGAGUUUCAAGUCGUACCCUUGGGUUUGAGUAAGUAUCUUGAAAAGGUGGGUUUUGUGGUAGGUUUUGAAUGGUGAGUGGGGAGGGGCAAAGUUGGGGAAAAAAAUGACAGAUCUGUAAUGAUAAUUAACAUCAUAACUAACGUCAAAUGCAACUUGAAAUGGAAUUUGCUAAAGUGAGGAUGGUUACUACAACCAUGAUAACAAACUUCCAACUAGAAUACUACAGUCCCACAUUCACCUUCUCCACACAAAGCUCUCUCUUCCACACUGAAUCUUCCACUGCAUGUUUGGGUUAUGUGAGCCUAAUGAGAACUGGAGAGCAAAACAAAUUGAAGUGUAAUAUGCUGUCAUGCGAACUCAAUAGUUCUUAUGAUUUCGCAUCAUGAUGUGCUAUCUUCAAAACGUAGAGUGAGGAUCGUCGCAAGGACCUCUUCAGGCUCCCAUACACGACAAACUCGAGCACAAAGCUACUAGUAAAUUUGUCCAAUUAUAUCGCUAUGGGAUCUCCACCAAGAAGGAAUGAGCAUCUAGGAAAGUAAAUUUGUGUGCAAUCCGACUUCCUAACUCAGUGGUCGUUCUCUUAUCUCACUUAUUUAAUUAACGUCGAGUGUCCCGAUCUUAGUCAAAAAAAGAUUGGGGUCCCAGCAACUUUAGAGGUUAAAUGGAUUCAGUUAAUCCCUUUUACAUAUAAAUACAUUACAAAUGUCAAGCCAAUGUAGAGAACUUGCCAGACAUGAUAACUAAACAUGUUCCUUUGACGAAACUUAAGCUUUACUUGAGCGCAGUUGUCAUCUGUAGAGAGUGAACGUCCAUUGAGGCAUUGCGAGAAUUCAGAUGGAUGAUGAACAAUAUGACUUAGUUAUAAACGUUAAGGCAAGGUAGAGAAUUGUAAAAAAUAUGUCUCGAUUUUGAGCCGUUAUGCAAUCUAACCUGAUUGGGUAAGAAAGAAAUCCAAGAAAUCUUUCUUUGAAUGGUGUAUGUAUUAGAGAGUUUCUUUUAUUUGGUUGGACGUAUUCAUGAUUACAUCCAGACUUUACAAUGUAAAAGAUUUGAGAGGAUAUUGCUUGGACACUUGGGUAAGAAAAAGAUAUAAGUUCACUUUGGGAGGGUUGGACGUGUAGACUCCGGCGCAUUAAACAUUGACGGAGAAAUUUUUCUAUGGACAGCCACCAAGGGCCCAAUAGUGAAUACAAUGAACUCUCAUGGUCAAAUUUCUUGUGGGCUUUAAUUGCCUCCUUGGAAUUUUCUUUUUGGUCAUACAAAAGAAAACGCGUGGGGUAAGGAAGUGGUCAAAGAAAAGAAAAUAAAUUAAAAGCAAGGUUUUGCUUUUUGGGUUUCCUUUCCUUGACAAGCCUAAUAGUGGAAUUCCAUUAGAAAUUGGCCACCGCACGAAAAGUAAAAGAAAGAACAUACGAACGUUCUUGAAUUAGCUAUGCGAAGGGUUUUGCUAUGGGCUUCUAUGAGCUUUGCAUGCAAUUAAGUUUUUUAUUUAUAAACUUAUUUGGAUUUGGUAUUAAUCUAAAUGUGGGACACACUCGAGUGUGUUAACAAUUGUAACUCUAAUUCUCAAAUUAUAGUGAAUUAUUGAUUGCUAGCUCUCUCUGGGGAUGAAUGCCGACACUCGGAUCAAAUCUCGUAAAUAUUUGGUAUCUUUGUCAUUCCCCGUUUAUUUCUUCAAUGUUCUUGUAUUGAUUUAAUGGGAAGAUCUUCUCAAUUUUCGCGUUAAUUUUGCAACAUGUCUACUUUUGAACUGCCUCUCAUCAGACAUGAUGACCAAAUAUGUCCUUUGACGAAACUUAAGCUUUACUUGAGCGCAGUUGUCAUUUAUAGAGAGUGAACAUCCAUCAAGGUGUUGGGAGAACUGACAUGGAUGAUGAACAUUAUGACUUAGUUAUAAACGUCAAGGCAAGGUAGAGAAUUAUUAAAAUAUGUCUCGAUUUUGAUCCGUUAUGCAGUCUAACCUGAUUGGGCAAGCAAGAAACCAAAAAAUCUUUCUUUGGUUGGCGUAUAUAUUGGAGAGUUUCUUUUAUUUGAUUGGACGUAUCCACAAUUACAUCCAGACUUUGCAAUGUAAAAGAUUUGAGAGGAUAUUGCUUGGAUGCUUAGGUAAGAAAAAGAUAUAAGCUUAAACGUGUAGACUCCGGCGCAUUAAACAUUGACGGAGAAAUUUUUCUAUGGACAACCACCAAGGGCCCAGUAGUUAAUACAAUGAACUUUUGUGGUCAAAUUUCCUAUGGACUUUAGUUGCCUACUUGGAAUUUUCUUCUUGGUCAUACAAAAGAGAGCGCGUGGGGCUAGGAAGCAGUUAGAGAAAAGGAAAUAAAUUAAAAGCAAGGUUUUGCUUUUUUGGGUUUCCUUUCCUCGAGAAGCCUAAUAAUGGAAUUCCACUAGAAAUUGGGCCACCGCACAAAGAGUAAAAGAAAGAACAUACGAACGUUCUCGAAUUAGCUGUGCAAAGGGUUUUGCUAUGGGCUUAAACACUUGGUGAUUUUCCCUAUGAGCUUUACAUGCAAUUAAGUUUUUUAUUUAUAAACAUAUUUGGAUUUGGUCUUAAUUUAGGUGUGGGAGACACUCGGGUGUAAGCGAUUGUAGUUCUGAUUCUCAGAUUAUAGUGAACUAUCUGUUGGUAGCUCUUUAUGGGGAUAAAUACUGACACUUGGAUCAAACCUUGUAAAUAUUUGGUAUCUUUGACAUUUCCCGUUUAUUUCUUCAAUGUUCUUGCGUUGAUCUAAUAGCAAGAACUUCUUAAUUUUUGCGUUAAUUUUGCAACAUGUCUUCUUUUGAAAUGCCUCUAGUCAAGAUCACUUUGUCCUAAAGCUCCAAUACGAAGUAGAUUAACAGAUCUUUCCAUGUUUAGAACCAUCCAAUUUCCAAAUGUUUUCUAGUGCAAUUUUUCGCUUGUACGUAAGGACUCAUUGGGACAAUCCACCGUCACACUUACAAAGGAAGCAAUUUGAAUAAUGUUAAAUGGGCACUCAUUAAGUUAAACUAGCUGCUUUUUGUGAAUCCGAAAGGCACUCUGUUAUGAUUUUUCUCUAGUGUGAAAUGUGUAAAAGCUACAAAGUAUUAAUUUUCAAUAUCUUGAAAAUAUAAGCAUUCUAAGUUAGUCGUGCUGAACAAUAAGAAGAGAGCACUUCAAUUACCAUAUUUACAUCCUAUGUUAGUUUCCCAAGCAAGAAACCAAUUCAUUGUGAGUAAUCAUUUAACAUUUACGAAUUUUCAUGUUACCAUCAUUUAAUUGCAUUCUAACUGUUCAACAUGAUCUUGCGUUCCAGCUGGGAGCCAAGUAAUUCACAAGGCCUAUGCUUUUCAUUGGAUAAAGAUUAAAUUAGUCAUAUAAAUCACAAUAUUGACUAGGCUAGACUAAACUUAACGUGUGGAAAAAGUUAUGCCAAUAGAGACAUCCAAAAAAUUCCCCACCAAUGAAAUCUGGUCAUUGCGUAAGUUACUUCCCCGCCCCACACACUAAUUAACCUUGUCACCAAAAGGAGCUGACCGCCCCACACACUAAUUAACCUUGUCACCAAAAGGAGCUGACCUACAUUCAUCACUAAAGAUGACCAAGACUUUGGCCAUGACCACAACUUCUAUACUCAAGCAUAGGCAUCACUGAACUCCUAUAAAGUUGCUCUAACUUGCAAAAAAGAAGUUAACUCAAGAGUGUGAUACAUAUAAAGUUUGGUCACUUGAAUCUGUAGUCAUGAAAAAGAAAGCAUUGUGGGCGCUUGUGGUGAUUUGGGGUAUCGCAUGUUUAUGUGGCUCUCGUGCGUGUCGGGAGCAAGAAAGGGUUGCACUCUUAGCGCUCAAUGCCACCUUCGACCUGACAUAUAGGGCGAACGCCGAGGGAUCAUAUUUCAACUGUUGCUGCUGGGAAGGUGUUGAGUGCAAUCCCACCACAGGGCGAGUCACUCAUCUAAUGCUCUCCGAUUCGAGAUAUGAUCGUUUCGGCUUCAAAACUUGGUACCUAAAUGCUUCUCUACUUCUUCCCUUUGAAGAACUCAAUAGCCUCGACUUGUCCAACAACUAUUUAGGAGGGUGGAUUGCACCGGAAGGUAAAAAUUCGCCGCUCGUUCAUUUCCUAUAAAAGAAGAGAUACUCAUUAUCUAAUGAACUCAAAACUUAACCGUGUCUUUACUCAGUUUUUGCAUUAUAAAUGAUUAUGUCCCGGUCAUCAUUAAUCCACAAGUCUAUGACAUAUUUCCCCCCAAAAUGGCAAUACCGGUUUACGCGUGUACUCGAAUAGAUUUCCGCGAAUUCUACUACUUUUCAUUGUUUGUUUGCAGAACCAAACCUGCUAUCUUCAAGGCUGAGCAAACUAGAGGUGCUUGACUUGAGUGUUAACUCUCUGGAUAAUUCUAUUCUAUCCAUUCUUGGUACAAUUCCAUCUCUUCGGAGUCUGUCCCUCAGUAGCAACAAUUUGAGCGGGACUUUACAUGUGAAUAGUAAAUUUCUCUGGCUUGUUCUCUGCUCAUAAUUUAGUACAAAAUUGCCAUCCUUGACUUGAGUUAACACUAUUUGUGGAUAAAUUAGGUGGUUUCAGUAAUUUGAUGGAGCUGGACAUAAGUGAUAACGCUAUCGAUGCGGUGGCUACUAUUGAAGGUACUAUUUCAAUUUGCACGAAGGAGCCUCGUUUUUAUUUAUAUAUUAAACUAACUAGCCUACGAGUCCUACGGACUUUUUAAUACCUUUACGUGAGCUUCACAUAAUGAAUAUAGAAGUCAUAUAUUGCAACCCCCUUCUCUUUCCAUAUAGAAAUGUUGAUUCUUAUCCCGAGGCAUUUGCAUGGGUGCUUUCAUUAGUUACUUUGGAUAAUGCUAUUCUACCCGUUCGCGGUAUAAUUUUGACUCUCAGGUGUCUAUUCUCCAAACAACAUUUGAAUGGGACUUUACAUGUGAAUGUGAAAGAUAGUUUCUCCAACUUAUUCUCUAUUCAUAAUUCCAUACAAAAUCGCCAUCCUUGACUUGAGUUAGCAAUAUUUGUGGUUAAAUUAGGUGAUCUCAGUAAUUUAAAGGAGCUAGACAUAAGUUAUAAUGCAGUCGAUGCAGGGGCUAUCGUUGAAGGUACUAUUUCAAUUUUCAUGUAGAAUCCUCGUUUUUAUUCAUAAAUUAAACUGACUAGAUUGUGAUUAAUGCAUGCUUUUUCAUAUCUUUACAUGCGUUGUGCUUCAUAUUAAGAAUAUAGAAGUCAUAUAUUGUAAUCCCCUUCUCUUUUCGUAUACAAAUGUUGCUGAUUGAAAAGAUAUCUAUCCCGAGGCAUCAGUGUGGGUGCUUUCCCAACUUAACUGCCAAGCAAGUUAAUUACUUGGGAUUUUACUGCUAGGCAUCAAAAACUUGAGCCACUUAGAGAACCUCCACCUAGAUGAUGUCCACUUGAAGCAUGUGGGGACCGUCGUGCGAGCAUUAGGGGCACUGUCAUCUCUGAGGAUUCUUUCUCUCCAAUAUAAUACAGUAGAAGGAAUAAUUACAACUCAAGGUUAGUCAAACCCGUGAGUGAAUGUAUAUUCACAAUAACGCUCCAUUCAUUUCACAGAAAACAACUUUCAAGAAAAUGUUUUUUAGAUUUUUCAGCGUUCGAGUCAAGGAAAAUAUAUAAGUAAAGGAAAAUAUUUUCCUUCAAUGGAAAAAGCAUUUUCAAAAGUCAGGAUAAUGAGGAAAUCAUUUUCCAUUCUCUUUCAUUCACCUAGACCUGUUUUCCUCUGUGCACUCUUUUUAUUUAUUUUAUUUUUUAUAUUUUAUUUUUUUUUAAAUCAAAAUUUUAUUUUUUAAUUUCUUUCUUUCUUUCUUUCCUUCUUCCUCAGUUGAUUGUUGGUUACGACAACCGACGGCAACCAACCACAGGUGAGGAACAAGCUCACCGAAGGCUGAGGCCUCGCCAAUCUGAUGAGGUCUAAGCUCAUCGGCCUCGAGCAAUCUUGACCUCACCUGUAACUAGUCAUCGGACGAACAAGAAAGAAAAAAAAAAGAAAAAGAAAAAAUAAUUAAAAAUCUAUUUUUUUAAAUAAAAAUAAAAUAUUAUUGAAAGGAGCGCACAUAUGCAAAUCAAAUUAAAUUUUUCAUAUUAAACGGUGUAAAAUAUUUUCUAGUUUAUUUUCAGGUUCCAGCCGAGCACUAGAAAAUAUUGUCAUUUUCCUAAAAGUGACUUCUCGAAAAACAUUUUCUAGAAAAGUGAUAUUUUCCGUGAAACGAAUGAAGCGUAAAUUUUUAUUAAAGAAGUUCCAUUCACUCAUGAUAUCUUUGUACCAUUUCUUGAUUAUGCUUGUGUAAGGAAAUCUGAUGUUCACUAAUCUUUGAUUUCUAAGAAGAUUUCCGUAACUUCAGUAAGUUGGAACAACUCAUCUUGGAUGGUUCUCCAUUGAACACAAGCAGAGGAAUCCUUUCCAGCCUUGGUCCGUCGACAUCUCUUAGAUUGUUGUCCUCAUCCAACACCGGUCUAAGUGGCAACCUAUCAGAUCAUGGUAAGUUCUGAUCUCUCAGUGUAAAAGCUGGACAUGAAAUGGAUCCUUGAUGUACUUGAAUGUCCUCUUUGCAUGUACCGAUAUAUCUCAUUGGAGGAGAAUUGACUUGUGAUAUCAAUGGCAGGCUUGUGUAACCUGGUAAAACUACAAGAGUUGGAUCUUAGCUUUAACGGAAUUACUGGCAGGCUUCCUACAUGUUGGCGAAACAUGUCCUCUAUUCGAAUUCUGAAUCUUGAAGACAAUGAAUUUACAGAUAGUGUCAUGUCAUCUCCCCUCUCUAGUCUUACAUCUCUCGAAUUUCUUUCCACUUCAAGCAACCAUUUUGAUAUCCCCUCAUCACUCAGACCACUUGCAAACCAUUCAAGACUUAAGGUGCUAAUUCUUGAUGACACCAAACUAACAAUUGAUACCACAGUUGCAUCUUUGAUCCCGAGACUCCAGUUGAAGGUUUUAAGUAUGUCAAAUAGUCCAUCAAGAGGAUUCAAAUUGACUUCUUUGGGCUUUCUCAAUAAUCAACAUGACCUGAGAAUUCUCGAUCUAUCCUCAAAUGACAUUCAGGGUCCCUUUCCAGCUUGGUUGUUGCAAAACAACACCAAGUUGGAAAAGCUUUUUAUGGAAAAUAACUUAUUUACAACAUUUAAGGUUCCAUCAAUGACCCUUUUUAAUCUUUCGUUCAUGGACAUAUCCAACAACAACAUUAGAGGAAAGCUCUCUACCGAAUUUUGGGCAAAUGUCCCAAAUCUGUCCUACCUUAAUCUAUCAGCCAACAGAUUGGAAGGGAAUAUUCCAUCUGAACUGGGUAGUAUGAAAUCCCUAUAUAUCUUAGACCUGUCCAGCAACAAUUUCUCAGCGGGGCUACCUAUCCAGAUACUACUAGAUUUAUGUCACCUCAAUGUAGCAUAUAACAAAUUGCAAGGAGAAAUUGUACUUUCCGACCACACCAUGAACCCAUGUUUGUCACAUUUGCGGUUAGACCACAACUUGUUCACUGGAAGUCUCUCUUUUCUUUCAUCAUUCGUACAUUUGGGGAUAUUGGACGUUAGCAACAACAAUUUCACCGGCGAGCUUCCCAGAUUGACUGCAAACAUGUCAUCACUUAUGGCCCUUGACUUGUCCAAAAAUCAGUUGGAUGGCCUCAUCCCUCAAGAACUCUACAAUCUUGGUUGGCUUGAGUAUUUGGAUUUGUCUGACAACAAUCUCUCUGGUCCAUUACCAUCAUUGUUUAUCUCACAGCGGAUGCUCCACAUCCAUCUGAGUAGGAACAAAUUGAAUGGUACACUCGUGCAUGCGCUCUCUAAUAGCUCCUAUUUGGUGACCUUGGAUCUAAGUGAAAAUGAGUUCUUCGGAAGCAUACCCUAUUGGCUAGGUAACCUCUCCCAAUUGACCAUUCUUUCACUAAAAGGUAAUAGCUUCUAUGGAACAUUUCCUGAGCAAUUGUGCAGAUUGAAAAGCUUAAGUAUGAUAGAUCUUUCUGAAAACAAUCUAUUUGGUCCAUUACCUAGUUGCUUGGGUCCCUUGAAUUUAUCCAAAGAUUACACCGAUAAGGUAACUUCAACAAUGAACAACGAAAUUCAUAUGAUAGGAUGGCCUUCAAGGCCUUAUGUGAGAUCAAUUAAAAACAAUCGUGAGAUCUACCAUAUGAAAAUGAAAGGAGAAUUUCAAGCUCCACAUAUUGUUGGGUUCACAACAAAAAGAAGGUUUGAUUCUUAUAAAGGCUACGCACUUCUUAAAAUGGUGGGACUACUUCUUUCUUGCAACCAGUUCAGUGGCGAGAUCCCAUUGGAGAUAGCAAUCUUACAAGAAAUGCUUGUGCUGAACCUGUCACAUAACAAGCUUACUGGACAUAUACCAAUGUCAUUGUCGAGCCUCACGAAGAUAGAGAGCAUUGACCUUUCCUAUAACAACUUGAUUGGUUCUAUCCCUGAAGAGCUUACUCAGUUGAAUUCCCUGGAAAUAUUCAAUGUGUCUUACAAUGACUUGUCAGGAGCCAUACCAAACAAAUAUCAAUUUGGGGCAUUCGAUGAAAGCAGUUACUAUGGAAACCAUCUUCUGUGUGGACUGCCAUUGAGUAAGAAGUGCUCGACAACCAUUAACGUUAAUUGCUCAGCAACAAACUCAUGCACGCCAGCUAAAGAAGAUGGUUUCAUAGAUGAACAGACAUUCUAUAUCAGCUUUGGAGUGUCAUACACAAUGGUUGGACUGGUAAUUCCAGUUGUUCUAUUCAUCAACCCCCAAUGGCGACAAAGAUGGUUUCACCAUGUGGAACUAGUUAUCACCACAUGUCAGAGCUUGUUCAUCACAUGCUACUAUUUUGUGCAGGACAAUUUUCAAAAAUUGUCCAGAGGCCAAACAUUUUAGGUUCUCUCGCUCUGCAUUUCCUAGUAAUAGUAAGAUUGGGUUUUUUUUUUUUUUUCCUUGUUGUUUGUUAUUGUCGUUGAUCAACAUUGAGCUCAAUGUGGAUCUAUCGGGUCAGUGUAAGUUCUUACCUUCACAAUUUAAUAAGGUCUUGUUCUACUUUCCUUGAAGACAAUACAUGGCGUGAUUCUUCCCUAUUUCGAAAAGGUGUUUUUACGUAGUUGCUUGCUCAUCUCUAUUUGGUUAGGUGAUCAUACUACUAGCGAUGACAAACAACACUAGAAAAACACAGCUGUCUCUUCUAACCUUUUUGGUUUCUGCAUAACAAAUUUGCUUUCCUUUCCAAAUAAAAGUUUUCGUCUCUAUAUAUCCCUUGGUCCAUUCGCAAACUGUUCGAGACAUAAAACUCCUCUUGCUUGACAAUACAGCACAAACAAUUGAAUGUUCUUCAAAGUCUUAGGCUCAUGGCCAAUCCACAAUUUGGUUAGGACAUCAAUUUCCGUCUAACUUUUAUGAAGGUUUACUUGUUCUUAAGUGUCUCCUGAGAUGGUCAAAUUCACAGUCAAACUUGCAUUUUUAUGACUACUUUCGCUGUUCCUGUCUUUGUGGAAUGAUGUUCUAACAUUUUGCUAGGAGUUUAGCUCUAGCUUGGAAAAAGAAGUACUGCACUGAGGCAUGCCCUGUUCAGUAUGAAAGAGACCCAAUUUGUUGUCUUGAUGUCUAGGCCAAAUGCGAGCAAGAACCAACCCGAAUCGAGGCCCAGAUUGGUGCAAAUGUAUGAAUUAUAUUGUAAACAUUCCAUUCAUACGAGAAGGUCAGCACUGCUGCCAUUUUUACAAAUUGAUAGAAAAAAGUAACAGGUGGUAUGUCAAUCAAAGUAAUAGAAACAACUAUCAGAUAAUCAUGAGCCUUUACUCACAAUCAAGAGAAAAAAGAAGCCGGACUCCUUUUUUGUAGUAAGAAAUUACUUCAACGCUUUAUGGCGGUUUCUACGAACAUACAAAAAAUGCAGCUUUGACAAGCAGUUUUGAGGACAUUCAUUCUGUUAUAAGAACAUCGGUCAUGACAAUAUAUAUUAAUAAAAAGUUAUGGUUGAGAUCCAAAUGUGGGGAAGACAUGCAAAGGAGAAUGUCCAGGCAAUUAUGCCCAGUUGAUCUAGCAUGCAGCACAUGGUAGGUAUGCUUAGUCAUUCUGACAUAUAAUUAAUUUGUAUUGAAAAAUAAUAAUGGCCCUACCUUUGUGGGCUUAAUCGUGUGCUAAAUCAUAUUGGUGUAUGCUUUUGGGCCCGGAUUUGGGUCAUCUAUUACAAUGGAUACAUUCUAUCCUCUUGUGACGGUAUAAUGUGUCAUGAAUCUAAAAAAAAAAUCUUUUACAGUCAGACUAAUGCACCGGCUAGCUCAGAAAUACGUCGCGUGGUUACUACAUUAUUUAAUAAUAUCACUGGCAGAAUACACUGAUCAUUCCAAUCCACAAUUUGAAUCACAUAUCCUUAUGGCAAAUUUACCACUCGAAAUUGUAAAUUAAGGUUCAAAAUAUUUUGCUGGAGCUAUUCAUCAGAUUUUCUUGUGGAAAGUAUAUCAUGUAUAGUAUUACCUCGUCCCAAAGUACAUACCAAGUAAGAAUUGGUCCUUCACCUAUAUAUCUAGCAUAAUAGACCAUCUGGUGCACAUAUAACUAAUAAUGAGUAAUAUUCCGACAAUGAUCAAACGAGCCUACUUUCACAAUAUUACAUUUUAGACAAGGAACAAUUUUAGUUAUGAUUGACAUUCCUUGUUUAAGAGUUGUCCUUGUUUCUGAAACCUCGGUUAGCAUCGUGUAAUAUAUUCUGAUUUUUAAACUCAAUUGCAACAGGGCAUCACAUCAAUUCAGUAGCAAGUUGUGGCAUUCUAAUGGGAAAGGACAAGGUGGCACCUCUUUUUUUUAGUAUAUGCAACCAACUAUUGAUCUGAACAGUUGGUAAACUCUUCUACAAAAUGACAUGCCUCACAAUACAUCUCAAUUCCCACAUUAUGCAUGUUACAGAUUAAGAAGCAUUGAAGCUUGGUACUGGAUAAGGCCAAAAAUGCUUAGAUUAUCAUGAGUAACCACAGAGCACCAGUAACGGACCUCACCCAUAGCAAGAACUUCCAAUGCAUCUUCAUACUUUUGCCUCCUCGUAAGUUGUUUUGCAUUUGAGUGAAGCAUUAAGCCCAUCAUCACAGCACUGGAGAAAAUCCAAAAGGUUUUUUAAAUGCCAAUUCAAAACAAUAGCAGCUAAACAGCAGAUUGUGAGAAAAGACUGCUUGAGAAAGGAUUUCUUAAAAAACAAAUUAGUCUACUGCCAACCCUCUGAUCAGUUUCAGAUCCCAUAUUUACUUUCUUUCCACUCUGAUCUUCAAGUUCUAUGUUGAAGUCUUCCAGUGGCAAUUACCCAUCUGCAUGUCUCUUAGCCAGUGCAGUGGCAGCUGCUCUGUAUUUAGAAGGAUAUACACAUUUAAUUAUAUGAGGGGAUGUGCACAUACACGCACAGUAGCCAGAAAGACUACUGUCUCUGAAAACAACAAACACGCUGGCCAAUAUCAUCAAAAAAAUAAUACAGGAAAGUGAACCACAAGAGCAGAUAAGCAUGUCCAUGUAAAUGAACAUCUGUAGGUAUGUAUAUCCAGAUUGCUAGGCUCAUCAGUGCUUCUGGCCAAGCAUAGAAAUUUUAUGGCAUAACUAUAAACAAGUCACUUUAUCAAGACAUGCAGUCUUCUUUUGAAUAAUAAUAAAGCCCCGUGCUCAGAGCCGAAUGUCUCUUUAAGUAUCAAGAUGGACUGCCUCAUGAGUAAGUAGCGUAUGCCACACUAAGAAUGUUGAUUGGUCCCAUGACCAAAUGCAAAGUUGCUAAAAAGGGGUGAAAUCCGAACUGAAUAUGCAUGCGAAAUACAUGAUGAAGGAUUGAUUUGGUGGUGGCAACUAAGAGUUAAAGUGAGGUUGGAAUGAGGAGAAAGCAUCUUCCGAUACAUCAAAGCUACUUAAAAACUUCUGCACCACAAAAAUGCCAAAAGCUUCAGACUGAGCAUUAUUAACCAAGGAAGGCAUCUCUUGAACUCGGACAUGCUCAUCCCAAUACCACAAAUUGCAUUGCUAUUUGACUCGGAGCUGUUCUAGAAAAGCCGAGGCAUUUUGAGUUCGUUCACCCAUAACAAGAAUACGAAGCUCGCUGCCAUUGGUAAAAUAGAAAGGGAGAUGUAAUUGAUACGCUGAAUGUAGAGAAUUCUUAGCCUCAUCAAAUAUGAGCACCCCUUAAUCACUCCAAGCACGAUUUAUCAAAACCAUCAACCGAUUAACAAAGAGAAUGGAAAGAAUAAUAGAGAUAGAGAGCAGCAGAAGCCUGCUUUCGAAAGGCAAGCUGCCUUUCACCACAUUAUAUUUUACAAGGCUAGUCCAACGAGGUGUAUGAUCCAAUAACAAAUACCCAACUUUUCAGAAAAAUUCAGCAAAACAAACAUAUUCCUCACAAUGUACAUAAUAUAAACCAAGAAACAGAAAACAAAGAGACAAGUUCCUGAUAAAUUCACCAUAUAUUCGAUGCAACGUAUCCAAUAAGCAAGGAAAGUCAACAACUUUGCUCGACCAAUCAAUUAGUACACCUAUCCGCUGCUGGGAACAGGCGACCAAGUCAAAAUUAAGCGAAAAGAUAGACGAUCGCACCCAUGCACACACACUGGAACGAGUACCCAAAAACACAGGCACAAACAAAAGCACUCACUUGACCCGAGCGAGCCUGCUGGACUGCUCAUCCUUGGCCAUGACCUCUUCCUUGAGCAACUUGACCUGGUCAACGCAGACGCGGGUUGAGAGUAUCUUGGCGUUGCCCCUGACGCCGAGCUCGCUCAGCUUCGCCGCCCCAUCACCGUCCAGCUGUCCAGCUCGACCUUGAUCACGCCGGACCACGUGCCAGCCACCUUCAGCUUUGCCGCCAUUGAUGGGUCAGUCAGGAUCGAAGAGAAGAGAAUUGGCUGAGAAAUUGAAAGAUCGAGAAUUUUAUAGUGCAGGAGUUUUUGUGGAAUUAGUGCCAGCUUUUCAAAAUGUAUAAGUUGUUAAAUGGAGGUAUUAUUUUAAUAUUUAAAUAUUCUAAUAUUCCCCCUCAAGCAUAGACUAGAUUUUGGCCUAAGACCAAUUUACGGAAAUAUAUAAUUGGGCACGCAAACAAAGUUGUCUGAAAACAUUCAACCUCAGAAUCUUUUGCUCUUAUAACACGUGAAAUUUUUGUGAGAUUAAUGCUAACUGUUUUAAAACUUAAUUUGUCAAAUAGAGGCGUGAUUUAAUAUUUCAAUAUUGACAAUAUAAAUGAAGUGACAUUGAAACAUUAGCAACUAUACAUAAGAAAUCUGUCACAGGCAAAGCGCAGAUUGCAAACCGCUAACACAGAUUUUGAAGGACCUUCACAAAAUAAUUCCAGUAAGUACUUCGAUCAUGCAACAGUUCCUUACCCAAUGGAGACCAGUUCAUUUAAUCUCUGGAGGUCCACAGGUUUCUUCAUGAGUGUCACUCCAUAAGACUUUUGCUCGCUGCAAAAUUUAAUAGAUUUUUUAUGCUACUAUAGAAAUUUGUAUGCAUAAUCUUCGCUUCAUAUCCUCCUCACGUUUCUGUAAUUUCUUAGCCUUUUCCUCGAUCAGAAAAUCAACAGCACUCCCAACAUCUUGGUUGGUCAUGUGAAGUGCCCUCCUGGCAUUACGUUCCUUGAAGCCCAUGCUCAUGACUAGUGAUAAAGAUUCAUCUGGCACCUGCAGCUGAAAUAACCAAAAUGCAAUUGUCAGCUUGGAAAAGGGAAAGAGUCAAGGUAACUAUGAGGAAAUAAGAGACGAUUUAAAAAGAAAUGGACUGUCCGAUGAAAAGUUCUUAAGUCGAAGAGUUAGACCUAUCCUACCAUUAACUUUAGAGUGAAUUUUUUUCUCAUUUAAACAAAAGAUCCAGAAAUUUACUCGCCAUGAAUUCUAGAAUUACAAAUGUUCUUUCAGUGCUGCAACAAAAUUACAGUCCUAGCUCCUUAAUCAUGCAUGCAAAUGAGACACGAUCUGCUGGUUGAUCAUAAUAAUAAGUCUUGCUUGCAGAAAUGACCAAGAGAGACUCAAGGAAACAGCUUAAAUAUAAUGUGACAAAUGAAAAGGGAAUAGUACUCUGAAAAUGCUGAAACUCUUGAACGAUAGAUAUGCAAGGUAUAAAUAAAUAUCUAUCAAUACCUCAAAGAAUAACAGAACAAACAUAAGCAAAAUAAUUUUAAAAAAAAACUAUUUGUCACAAGAACUGCUACAGAAGAAUUCAGUACAAGCAUAAAAUGGGGCUGAGCACCUCAAGAACUGAAUAAGACUUCUUUAGUAACCUUGAGGAACUUUUCUUGUGCAGAUGUCAAUGCUUUUCGUGACUUAUCGAGAUGACCACUGUGAUAAGCUACCACUCCUUCCAACAGCUCUAACCGCAAAUGCCUGGAAGUUAAUUAUUCCAAUUCAUUAGUCUGAAGCCAAUAUUUCAGGAUAAGAAAGUUCUCUACACAUAUUGCUAGAAUGCUGGGAUGAAAAAUUGCAAAACUGAUGCUCACAAAGCAAUCUCUGGAUAGCGACCUCCUUGAAGGAAUCUAACACGAGAGCAAUCCUUUCCAUGAGCACGCUCAAUCCCUUCUCUGGCCUUUUGCAGUUGAUUCCAGCCACAGAGAGUGAUCAGAUGUCUCGAAGCAUGAAAUAGCACCAUACCAUGUCUAUUUGCAGUAUAGGAACAUUGUCAACCAUCUGAAACCAAAGAACAUGAAGCAGUAUAAGUCACACUGAAACAUUCAUAAUCUCUCUGUGUGCACAUCAAAGUAUUAACAUACCCCCUUCCCAAAUAAGGAGCAAAAGUGGAAUCCAUGAAAUCCAAGCUGCAAGCCACAUCAACUGAGUUCAAGUGAAAUUAAAAUAGUUCACAAUUCCCGGACUAACUUGAAAAUUUGGUGCAUUCAGUCAAUUAUAUGUGAAAUGAAUGCACCAUGAAUCACAAUGAGAAGGGACAGGCUUAGAAAUAGUCACAAUGUAACCAAAUAGCGAGAUAUUUGGAAAAGCAUUUUCAACAUGAGCGGCUAUCAUCCUCAAAUUAUAGAGUGCCAAACAUCCACUAUAUUAUCAGAAGCUUCUGCACUAUCAUAUCAUCUAAAGAACAAUUAUAAAAUAGAAGAAUGAGUACAGACUAUAUUACAUAAAACUCCCAGGUGAACACAUGCAGACUUCUUAACUUGGGAGAAUAUCACUGACCUCAAUAAACUGGGGACUGCAGAGAGAGGACUCCUGUAUUGGGAAGAAAAUGGUUAAAGUAAUCAAUUUUUAUAAAUUGGUAGAAAAAAUAACAGGCGGUAAGUCUAUCAAAGUCAUAGAAACAACUAUCAGAUCAUCAUGAGCCUAUGCUCACAAGCAAGAGAAAGAAGAAGCCAGACUCCUUUUUUUGUAGUAAGAAAUUACUUCAAUGCUUUAUGGUGGUUUCCAGGAACAUACAAAAGAUGCAGCUUUGACAAGCAGUCGAGGACAUUCAUUCUAUUAGAAGAACAUUGGCCAUGACAAUCUAUAUUUAUAGUCAAGACAUGCAAAGGAGAAUGUCCAGGCAAUUGUUCCCAGUUGAUCUAGCGUGCAGCACAAGGUAGGUAUGCUUAGUCAAUUCUGAUAUAUAAUUUAAUUGUAUUGAAAAAUAAUAGUAGCGAUACUUUCAUAGACUUAAUCAUGUGCUAACUCAUAUUGAUGCAUGCUUCUCGGCCUGGAUUUGGGUCAUCUAUUACGAUGGAUGCAUUCUAUAUCUUUUUGUGAUGGUAUAAGGUGUCAUGAACCCAAGAAAAAUCUUUUACCGUCAGACUAAUGCACUGGCUAACUUAUAAAUAGGUUGUGUGGUUUCCAUAUUUUGUAAUCAUAUCACUGGCAGAUACACUGAUCAUCCAAUCCACGAUUUGUAUCACAAAUCCUUGUUAUGGCAAAUUUACCACUUGAAAUUGUAAAUUAAGGUUAUUCAAAAUGUUUUAGUGUGGAGAUAGUAUUACCUCGUCCCAAAGCAUAUAUCAAGUAAGAAUUGGUCCUUCACCUAUAUAUCUAGCAUAUUAGACCAUCUGGUGCACAUAAAACUAAUAAAUUGAAGUCUUCCAGUGGCAAUUACCCAUCUGCAAGUCUCUUAGCCAGUGCAGUGGCAGCUGCUCUGUAUUUAGAAGGACAUACACAUUUAAUCAUAUGAGUGGAUGUGCACAUACACACACGGUAGCCAAAAAGACUACUGUCUCUGAAAACAACAAACACACUGGCCAAUAUCAUCAAGAAAAUAAUACAGUAAAAGUGUACCACAAGAGCAGAUAAGCAUGUCCAUGUAAAUGAGCAUCUGUAGGUAUGUACAUCCAGAUUGCCAGGCUCAUCAGUGCUUCUGGCCAAGCAUAGAAAUUUUAUGACAUAAUUAUAAACAUGUCACUCUAUCAAGACAUGUUCAGAGAAGUCUUCUGAAUGAUAAUAAAGUGCCCUGCUCAGAGCCGAAUGCCUCUUUAAGUAUCAAGAUGUGCUGCCUCAUGAAUUAAGUAACGUAUGCCACCCUAAGAGUGUUGUUAGUCCCACGACUAUACGCGAAGGUUGCUAAAAAGGGGUGAUAACAAAACCAAAUAUGCAUGCGAAAUACACAAUAAAGGAUUGAUUUGGUGGUGGCUGCUAAGAGUUAAAGUGAGCUUGGAAUGAGGAGAAAGCAUCUUCCGAUGCAUCAAAGCUGCUUAAAAAAUUUCUGCAUCAAAGGAACCCCAAAAGCUUCAGACCGAGCAUUAUUAAUCAAGGAAGACAUCUCUUGAACUCGGACACGCCCAUCCUAAGACCAUAAAUUGCAUUGCUAUUUGACUCGGACUUGUUCUAGAAAAGCCAAGGCAUUUCGUACUCCUUCGCCUAUAACAAGAACGCAAAGCUCGCCAGCAUCAGCAGAAGAGAAAGGGAGAUUUAAUCGAUACACCGAAUGUCGACAAUUCUUAGCCCCAUCAAAUAUGAACCCACUUUAAUCACUCCAAGCACAAUUUAUCCAAACCAUCAACCCAUUAACAAAGAGCAGGCAAAGAAUAAUAGAGAUAGAGAGUAGCAGACUUUCCGGAGAGGCGAGCUGCCAUUCUCCACAUUAUAUUUCACAUGGCCAGUCCAACGAGGUGUAUGAUCCAAUUACACUUACCCAACUUCUCAGAAAAUUCAGCAAAACUAACAUAUUGCUCACAACGUACAUAAUAGGAACCAAGAAACAGAAAACAAAGAGACAAGUUCUCGAUUAAUUCACCAUAAAAACGAUCCAACGAAUCCAAUAAGCGAGGAAAGUCAACAGCUUUGCUCGACCAAUCAAUUCGUACACCUAUCCGCUGCCGGGAACUGGCGACCCCAGUCAAAUUUAAGCGAAAAGAUAAACGAUCGCACACUCGCGCACACACUGGAACGAGUACCCAAAAACACACGCACAAACAGAGACACUGAGAAAUUGAAAGAUGGAGACUUUUAUAGCGUGGGAGUUGAGAUCGAGGGAGAAAGGCGUGGCCUUUGCUUGAUGAGCAAGAUUUCAAAGCCGGGGUAUUUCUUCUUCUUUUUUCUCCUGCUUUCAGCUUGAGUUUGGCACAUAAAGAUGGGAUUAGCAUUUAUUUUGAUUCUAUUUGGCUUUGGUGUUGUCUCCGGAUAAGGGAAUAUAUGUAGAUAAAAAUGACAAUUCAAUCAUUCGGUCCGAAGCAUAUGCCUCUUAGAGAUUGUCGUGUGAAUUAAGUUCUCGAUUUUAAAGUAGAAGUGUUUUGAAACAAUAGAUAUGAUGGAGAUGAAUUUCUAACUUGGAAAAGUCGAGAAAUUCAUUCAUGCCGUAAUCACUAUGUUGAUUGUCCAUAUGGUAUAUAUUCUUAAAAUAAUAGUACUAUUAAUUAAACUAAGGCCUGGUUCCUAAAUUAACAUAGACUAGGUUUUAAAUCUUUUAUAGGAAUCUACGCACCUUAGAACAGAUCAUCUUCGUGAAGCCAUAAAUGAAGGCUCGUUGAGAUAUAAAGUUUGGCUUCAGAAUAAGAUUGCUUUCCUUCUAUGAUUAGUCAAAAAGUUGCUAACUAACUUCUCCAAUUUACAAGAGCCAUAACUCAAUUCACACGCUCUUCAAACUCCAAUUGACAACCGUGCUUAAUCAGUGGUCUUCUGGCGAUGGAUAUAAACUAAGACAAGUUUUCGGCCCAAAGAACAAGGGUAAGAGGGGACAACGGCGUAAGUACCUCUUCUGAACAUUGUCAUAGGAAAUCCACACCUAUUAUGAUCCUAAUUGCAAGGUCCGGGGACUUGGAUCAUGGUGUGAGAUUUUGGUGUGGGGUUUAUAUGGUGUUUAGCUCUUUCACGCUUUUGGGGUGUGGCUUUACUAAGAUCCUGUAACAUAACCCUGCCAUAGAAUGUUCGUCUUUGAAUCUAUUGCGUCUAACAUUGAAUUAUCCAUGUUAAAUCACCCUGCUCCAGAGCUGCAGACUGACUUCCGAACAGGACAUUCUAAGAUAGGACGACCCAUCAAAUGUGAUUGAUAGAAUCAACGAGUAUGUCUAGAUGCCCAGAAAGCGAAGCAACGAGGAGCUUCGCAAAUAGCUUGAGGCUCAUAAGUUUUGCUUGCGUUGGAAAGCAUUGAAUUGAGGUAGUUGCUGACAUAGUUGUCGCUGCCGAUCGAGAAGGCGAAGAUCAACUUCUUGGCUAAAUAGCUGGAGAACUCAUAAGAGCUCUUGACGAGUCUUAGUAAAUCAUUGAGGGUGGCACUAUCAAACUACCUCACUUGGUCAUUCAAAUUAAGACAUUUGCCCUAAAAAAUAGUUCCCACAUCAUGUGUUUUCAAGGUUCAAGUCAAGCCCGUUACAAGACGAUAUUUUUAUCUUUGUUCAUAAUGUCCAUGCGAAAUUUCACGCGUAGUUUAUAUGGUUAGAGUCCUUAAAGCUUGAUAUCGAUUGAUGGGCAUCAUUUGUAAUUUUCAAUUUUGAGACUAGUUUAUAAUUUGAAUUUAGGAGCACUUUAAAUGAUAACUUUAUAAAAAUAGACUUAUUUUACCUAUUUUAUACAAUAAAUAAUACAAUAUCUGUGAAAAAAAAUUUGGUUAUCCUUCUAUUUAUUCAAAUUUUCUUUGUUCAUGCAACAUCAUGAGAUAUUGAGAAAAUAAGGAAAAUAAUGGCAAAAAGAAGGAAAGGAAGAUUCUUUGAUUCACGAAGUCAAAUUAAAAGCAUUGGAAGAUGGACAACGAAUCAAUGAUUCUGCACAAGAGAUGUUUUUUGAUGUGACCACAUGGGUGACCUUUUGGGAAAUUAACUAUAUGUAUUGUAAAUCUUAGUAUGAGAUGAGUUAAAGAACACAAACUCAGCAAAGUUAGAUUAAUGGGCGCCACAUUAAUUGAAUUAAAAUGGGACAACAGCAAGAACUAUAAAGAAAAGAGAGCAAACAGACGAUGAAGAAACUUCAUGCUACAAGCCAAAAAUGAGUUAGUUAUGGAAUCGAUUUAGUAAUUUGUGAAUCCCAGAUCUGGGCACUGGACAUCUCGUUUAAAAGAUCAAGCUCUCAUUGACUUUGAGAAGUCUAGUGCCGGAAGUAACGAACAAUUCUUCUCUGCAUUUCUCUCAUUCUCGUGCUCGUGCUCGUGCUCAUGCUCAUAUCUUGGUGAAACACUGUAAAAUCUCUCCGGGAAGCACGAUCAAAUUGAAGGAGCUCUCUGCAUCGCCUUGUUUUGCUGAUCCAUUGCUCAGUGAAGUUGCAAUUAUCGUCUCUUCUUCUUUUUCCUGCUAUCUGACAUCUUCAACGACAAAAAAGAUGAAGAUUGAAGAGUUGCAUUGCUUUUGGCAGAGUGAGACAAGAGAAGAGUACCAAUGAGAUGGACCCAAGAAGACUUCUUUGGUUACUGAAAAAAAGGUCAAUGGGAUAGUGGCAAUUGGCCAUGCUACUAGGAACCUUCUGUAAGCGCGGUUAAAACUGGCCCACACGAGUGGCAAGUGAUCGCUAGGUGAGAGGUUCUGCAUAAAAAGCGACUCAAUGAGGGCUUCUAGAAUGGUGGAGGGAUAAGAACAAACUAAAUUGUGCACUGAAUAAAAUAAGAGCAUUCAUGGAUAAUAUAUAAAACUAAAAUUGAUUCACAUGAUCAUUUUUUUUUUAAAUGUUGGAAACACAAUAUUAAGCAUGCUCCUCUUAGGAAAAGUGUAUACCUGCACACCAAAAGAUGAAGCAGGAUCAGUCGCCAGGGCAAGAGCGCCCAAACAAAGAGAGACUCCCGGUAAAUUUUUAGAAUGACAAAGGAGGUAUGCCCAUCCAACAAGGGAAGAUCAUUCCUAGAUUAUAUGCGCAGAGCAGGAACUUAAUUUUCAAGAGACAUUUUUUACGUGACAGCAUGAGUGACUUUCUUGAAAAGUGACUAUUUGUACUGUAAAUCUUGGUAUGAAAUGAGUCAAAGAACACUAACUCAAGUGAGUUAAAUCCAAGGGUGCUACAUUAAUUGAAUUAAAAUAGGACUAAGGUAAGAACUUUAAAAGAAAAGAGAGCAAACAGAUGAUGAAGAAACUUCAUGCUACAAGCCAAAAAUGAGUUAGGUAUGGGAUCAAUUUAGUAAUUUGUGAAUCCCAGACCUUGGGUUUGGUCUUCUUAUUUAAAAGAUCAUGCUUUCAUUGACUUUGAGAAGUCUAACGCAGGAAGUAACGAACAAUUCAUCUCUGUAUUUCUCUCUGUCACCCAGAAAGAAAAAGAGAAAUGAAUUGACCUGUUGAAUUCCUCCUGCUUAAAGAGUCCUUCCCACCUCCCUCCAAACCCAAGAACUCAAUUUUGAAGAUGGCAGGUAGAAACGUUUGGGGGUUGAAGCAGCUGUUUCUGCAGAUGUCAUGCAAGAGAAGAAACUUUGAAGCUUUCUUCAGGAGAUGUGCCUCAACCUCAUCACAAGUGCAUGAGAAUUGCAAAGCCUCACUGCUGAAGAAAUUGAAUGCCAAGAUUCCUGAAGAGAGCGACAAUGUCUGCAUCUACCGAGUCCCCACAAAACUGCGUCAAGUAGAGGCAAAGGCAUAUGGUCCAAGCAUUGUAUCGAUCGGCCCUUAUCAUCGUGGAGAUCAACACUGGAAAGAAAUGGAGGAGCUAAAGCUAAAAUUUUUCCAGAGAGCUUUCAAGUCAAGACAAGUAGGUGAAGACGAACUAGACAGAGUGAUUUCGGCGAUGGAGAAACUAGAGCCGAGGGCUAGGAGUUGUUAUGCAGACGAUGUUAAGCUGAGCAGAGACGAGUUCACUGAGAUGAUGACCAUCGAUGGCUGCUUCAUCCUGCAGCUCCUGAGGGAGGUCGGCGGAUGUUCUUCUUCAUCCCUUCUUCAAAGGUGGAUGUUGCCAACGCUGCGCUGUGAUUUAAUCAAGCUUGAGAACCAGCUCCCAAUGAUAGUUCUACACAAAUUACUCAAAUUGGUCUAUGCCAAUUCUCAAUGUGAAUACUCAAUUCUUUCCCUACAGGACCUCGCUUUGAAUUUCUUCAAUCCGUUAUUGCAGAGGAACUCGCAUACGAAUGCUGCUGGUACCACCGGGAUGAAUGGGGCCUGUCACUUUCUUGAUCUUUUCCGAUCCAGCAUUCUCCCGGAGAUACAGGAUCAGGACCGGAAAAGGCAACCGCACAUGAUCCGAUCUGUAACUGAGUUGAGGGAAGCAGGAGUGGUCCUCGAGAAAUCGCAGAACAACAGGGCACUAGACGUCCGAUCCGAGGGAAGGGUCCUGAAGAUUCCGCCCCUCCACAUAGACGAUCACAGAGGCACCUUGUUCCGCAACAUGGUGGCCUUCGAGCAAUGCCACAAGAAAUGCAAACCCGACGCGACGGCAUAUCUGUUCUUCUUUGACGGGGUCGUGAACUCGGCGGACGAUGUGGAAAUCCUCCAUUACAAAGGCAUAGUCCACCACUCCCUCGGAAGUAACGAAGAGGCGGCGAAUCUGGUGAACAAGCUGUGCAGAGAAGUGGACUGGGAUGGAGAAGAGUCGUAUCUGCACAAAGUGGUGUGCGAAGACAUUGACGUCUACUUCAUUAGCGCUCGCGCGAAGCUCAGAGGGCGCCUCGUUCAUUACUACUUCAGCAACUGGACAGUCGGAAUUUCGACUGUGGCAGGAUUGUUCGCGCUAUAUCUGACGCUAAUCCAAACAGGUUGCAGUGUCGCUGAUGCACUAGAAUAUAUGCAGGAGGAAAGCUUCUGGUCAUACCUAAGUCUAUCAUUUUUUCUGCCCUUCUCUCGCCCCUUCAUGCCGCUAGAUCAAAAGGAUUUGAACAAGGAAUGAAGUUUGAGGAUACGCAAUUAGUUCUUGAUAACAAAUUUGCAGGCUCUUUUGGAUGUAUGAUGGGCGGUCAUCCCCAUUUUCUUGAGUCUUAUUCUAAGUCUUAUUCCUUUGUUUCAUGAUGUCUUACCAAUGAUCUAUCUUUAGAAUUCUAAUAUGUUAGGAGACCUAAAAAAAUUGUGGGAAAUGCUUGGUUGGGUCGAUGUGACCCCAACCAAGCUAUCUAUUCAUAAUAAAGCGAAGAGCCCAAAAUUACAAUAUCUCUCUUAUUACCAUCAUACAUAAAAUAAUAAAGGACAUAGGCAAAUAUAUUCCAUUGGCCAAAUACUCUCAACACUUCCCCUCAAGUUGGAGCAUAGAUAUCACUCAUGCCCAACUUGACUAAAAUAAUAUGAAAUGAUUUAACCUUUGAUCAUUUAGUAAACACAUCAGCAAGUUGAUCACUAGACUGAACAAAUGGCACAUAAAUUAAAUGACUCCAACUUCUCCGUGAUAAAAGUGAAAUUAAAAGUUAACUAAAAUGUUGACUUUUAGUCAAAUCUUUGACCAAAAAAUUGAAAAAAUAAAAAAUUCUCGAAUACAUUUUUUUUUAAUACCAAUUUGACUUUGAUGUAGAAAAUUUUGCAAAAAUCGAUGAAGAACCUUGUUUUCCAAUUUUUUUGGUUUUAGGUUCUAAAUUAGCCAAAAAUCAAAUUACUUUUAUUAUAAUCAUAAUUAGGUAUAGUUCAUUAUUUAACAUUUGGUUUAAGGACUAUUUUAAAUCCGCUCAUGCAUUUUGUUUCACGAAAUGCUCAAUCAAAAUACAAAUCGCUAUUUUGAACCAUAAUUAGGGGGCCAAAAUCGAUUAUUUAUGAAUUGCGAACGGACGGUUGUUCUUCACUCAUUUUCAUAAGAUAAUUCCAAAUCCAAAAUCAAUUUUAGGGAGAUUUGCAUCAGGAUUUCUCGAUUUGAAGAAUUUUACUCUUUCAAGUAUAAGAAAAUCAAGCAAUCAGGCUUUAAUUGGCAAAAUUCGAAUUGAUCCAUUGAAGGUUAUGAUUUAAUUUCAUAAAUCUAGGUCCAAUUUUGAUAUUAUACCUAAAUUAUUUUUUUACAUAAGCUCGAGCACUCCAAUUCGAGAUUAAUUUGAACAUAUUAGGUGAUCUUACACAUGGGUGAUUAAUUAGAUAAGACAACUGUGAUAUUAAUUUAAGUCAAUUUCAAUCAAUUUACAAUUUUAUCCAUUGAAUUACAAAUUUGAUCAUUUUAGCCAUUUAGACUCGAUUCAAAGAAUAUGGUUUUGACCUAUUGCCUUUCAUGACAAUCAUUCGAUUAAGUCAAUAAAAGAUCUCUAAAUCACAUUCAUAAAGUUUGAUUGACCUAAUUGAAUCACAAUGGGCCAGUUUCCUCUCAAAUAAGGUAAAUAUUAUUUUCAAUGACCAAAUUGCAUAAAUUUUGAACCCACGAGGGUCCCAAGCAAGCAAAAUGGCCAAAAUCAGACCAAAAAGGUCAAGAGCCACCAAAUAGGAGUGAACCAGUCUAACUAAUCUGAUUGAUUGGCAGUGGUUCUAGCCGGUUGGACUGCUUGCCAGUCGAUUCUGGACCUCCAGCAAUUGAUUCUGGGAUCCUCAUUGUGUCAGUAUCACUUAUGCACCUUUAAUUUCUUAAAAUUUUGCAAAUUAGUCAUCGAAUCUCAUAAAAUUGCAAUUUGACUCCUAAGUGGACAUUUUGAUGCAAUCUCAAUUUUAACUCGGGUUUUCGCAAAUCAAACUCACUAGAUCGAUUACCUGACAUCUCGAAAUCGAAUUUUGACUGUUGGAUUACGAUUUCGAUUGUUAGAUUGAAUCGACGGUCGAAAUUGCUUGAUUUGGAGAGGGUAUAUCUACCCAUUUUCCCUCCAUUUUUAAUGGGCCCUGAUUUGCAUGAAAUUUCUUCUCUCUUCAAGUUUCUCUCUCAUCUCUUUGUUGUUUCCCACCAUUUCCUCCUUCCGCCCUUUUCUUGCCAACCAAACUGGUCGCACGUCGAUUCUAGCUCGUUGGCCUCACGCCGGCGGCCCACCGGACGCCGCCUAGCCCCCGACGGUCCCUCUCAUUCUCCUCCUUCAUCCCCUGAUGAAAAGCGCCAUCUCCGGCGGUUGAUUGAUGGGCUUAAACCGAUUUGUUAUGGUCAGUUCACAGAACCGACGAUCAAGUCGGUUUUCAAGUUUACCAGCUCGACUGCCGGUUCGGCUACUGAGAUCGGCGAAGCAGACCCCGCCGAUCUAUCCCUGAGUUUGUUCCUGACCUUGCCGUGGUUGGGAACUAAUAGAUCAGCCAUCGGAAUACCUUCGGUGGCCCGAUCUCGUCGGAGAGUCCAAAACCGGUCCAAGUAGGACCGAUUCUGUUCCAGGCUAAACCGAAGGCCGCCAGUGCUCUGAGGAGCCUCCAACCGCUCUCGAUCAGUAGCUCCAGAGGUCCCUGACCUCGCCGUAGUUAUGGAUCGGCGGAUCGGCUGCUGGAUCUCCUCCGACAGUCCAAUCUCCAUCGGUGAAUCAAGACCGAUCCAACUUUGAACCAAUUCCGACGUUUGCUUCGAACCGGCAGUUCAACCGACCUCGAUUCGGUUCCCUCGGUGGUCUGUGACUAUCUGAUCGUGAUUCUGAAGAUCCGUGUGCGUUCCGAAGAGCUUGAUUCGAUCGACGACGUCUACAAUCAACGAAAACGCGUAAAAGGUAAUGUACUUUAUCUCGAACCACGUGAAGCGAGGCUGGAUUAACCGGUCGGGGCUAAGGUUCAAUCUUAGAGAUAUAUGCUAUGUUCAUAUGCUCAUUGAUGAGUUGCUCAAACUUGAACUUGAUUGAUUGUUCUUGAUGAACUUGGAUGAUUAAACUUGUUUAGGCUUGAAUCUACAUUUUCGUAUCUACUGGACUGAUCAGAUGUUUUGGCCAAAAUGAGGUCUGAAAUGACCUGAUCUUAGUUCGAGUUCUCUUAGACUUUUAAAAUGCACAUCACUAGCUUUGAAUUGAUAGGUCGCAAACCCCAAUUGAGCGAUGUUUGGCCCUCGAAAAAUACCUCUGAAAAUGUGCGAUUCUGCAGUAGUUUAGGUCAGUUUUUGGUUCUGUUUUAGUUCUGACUUCAACUUUUGCUAUUUUUGCGCUGCUUUCUGUGUUGACUUCUGGAAAAACUUGUCUUCAUGAAAGUUGUUUGUUAUUGUCUUGAGUAUGUCCUGUAAUGUUUUUGGAAUUUUUGGACAUGUUAGCUAGGUCAAAACCCCUCAGAUUUGAGAUAGGGUCAAUCUGCCUAUCUUGAUCUGAAAUGGAUUUAAGAAGAAUUGGACAUGUAAUUGACCUUGUUCAACAUCAAGUCCAUCAUGAAAGAUGAAACGCAUAUUGUAUGUUUUCAAUUGAUGCAUGAUUUGCAAAGUUUUGAUAUCGUUUAAUGCAUCGAUUGCAUGCAUUAAGGUAAAUGGGUGUUACAGAAAAAUAAACCUUAUAUGUUGCAUGUUUGUUUUACUAUUUUUGUCACAACUCGCAUGUUCUUAAUUGAGUUUCAAACUCUUAACGAAAAAUAUUCAUCAUUGCAUGUUCUGUAUGUGAGAUUUUUCGUUGGAUUUUUGCAUGUUCAUAGGUGACUGAAAUCAUGCUUGUUUUGUAGCGUUAAGUUUAAGAUGAAACCUCAUCAUGUAUGCGCUUUAUCAUGCCCGUUUGAGUCUAUUAGAGACUAAAUCUUAUGUUGAUGUCUACUUGACUUUUAAAGUAUAUAACAAGGUUUGUGUGCAUAUGUGAAUUGUCAUUUACUUUAUGAACACCAUGCCAGAAUUUAUUGCCGUUGGUACUUUUUAAAUUGCUUCUGUCAAGACAUGGUAAUUCUUCCUUACAAAGACAGCCUUCUGUUAUUCAGUCAGUAUCUACAGCAAUUUGACCCGGAUGGCAAUCGAGUAUGUGUUUAUUUUUUGGGUGAAAAUAGGGAGUUUCGUCUCCAUCUCUAGUUUCCAAAAUGUUAAAUCUCAAAUUGUUCAUUUCACAUUUCAAUCAAGGGCAUACUGUUUAUGGAAAUAAAGGAAGCACAUAUCAGCAUACCUAAGUUAUUUUUUGAUAAAGUAAUGGCACUACUACUUUUACAUGCCAGUGACGUGAUUAUUCCUGAUGUACGUUAUUGUCUAAUUUCCAUAUAG
rnacentral:lncRNA from 1 species